rnacentral:lncRNA from 1 species
CAUUAAGGUACAAAUAGUGCUGAACGUUUCUUAGUCGGAAAUAACAGAUUGGCUGCCGAAAGAAAUUGCAUCAGUGUAACAAGAACAUAAUUGAAAAUGUAACUCAUACUAGUAACAGGAAAGGCUCAAAUAGUGAUGUAGUCAGAUCAUUAAGGUACAAAUAGUGCUGAACGUUUUUUAGUCGGAAAUAACAGAUUGGCUGUCGCAACAAAUUGCAUCAGUGUAACAAGAACAUAACUGAAAACGUAACUCGUACUAAACAGGUAAGGCUCAAAUAGUGCUGUAGUCAAAUCAUUAAGGUACGCCAUGUGAUAUAACGCGCGCCUGUUCUAAACAUUCCCCCCAUCUUACUGGAAAAGAUGAGGAAAAGCUCUGUCGGAGUGCAAUCGAAAGGCGGUCAUACUGCUCGACGACAACCAGAUUAAUAUCCUACUAUACCAGGCGCGCCUCCGGCGUGUUCACCAGGCGGCAUGCUAGGCUGAAAUUCACAACUAUGUCAUGCCAAUGUAACAAAGUGUGCAGCAAUAGACGACAGGCAUCUUUGUCAACAUCAACGAAACGGCUUGUUUUUUUUUUGUAUCGAAACAAAUAAACAGUGCAGUAACCAGAGCACAAGAGACACUGGACUAGGCAAUGCAGUUCCUAUUUAAGCAGCCAGGAACAAGUCUCAGGCGCUUCCAGGACCAAUGUUUGCUUGCUGAAUACGACGCCCCCCCGGACGACGGCCUCCGGUCCUACGGCCGCCUCGAGCAUCCGACCGAUCAACCAACCCCGGCCCUAUCGCCCAUGAUAACCUCGAUAAUCCACGGAUUCGGCGCGAAUUUGACGGACUAGGAGGCGGUAGGAUUCCGCCCCGAUUUGGUGCUGGGGCGAAACGAACCGCCCCGCGCCGCGUUGUGCGGAGACGACGCGGGGGGGGGGGGGGGGGGGGGGGGCACCGGCGCGUGAUUCGGGUGGAGGGGAGAGGAUACCUCAUGGCGACGCGGCGGAGGGCGGAGGAGGGGUAGGGUUUGUGGAGCGCGGUGGGGAAAGCUGGUCGCAGCGGCGUCAGGGGAGAAGAGAGGACGAUGUGCAGUUUAUUUGUUUGCUGAAGAGAGGACGAGCGGCGUCAGGGGAGAAGAGAGGAGAGCAUCAAACCGCUUUGGGGGUGCAACUUUAUUUGGGGGCAAAGAUGUGCCCCGAAAUGCCCACCUGCGCUUUGAAAUAAUAAUUUCCCACGUGUUAUAUGUAAGCCGUCUGAUUUUAUUUUACUUUUUUUACAUAAGUCUGAUUUUGCGUGCAAAGGAGGGGGCGUGGUGGAGCUCGAGGCCAAAGUCGGCGACGACGCCGCGAACGGCAUCGACGGCGAGGCUGAGCCAAGGCCUCGUCAGACGACAAGGACACCAUUAUGAACGACAACGAGCCGUUGCAUCUAAGAUGAAGGCGAGAAGAUAGGUUGGCAGGUGCGGGCGGGGUUGCGGUUGCUACUUUGCGCCGAAAGGUAGAGUGAAACGGGGGCUUAGAGGGAGGGAUGGCCUUGGGUCGGGGAGGUCGAUGAAAGGACGGCGCGAGACGUGGGGGAUGAUGGCCAACAAAUGGCGUUGGCUUAGGAGGCGGGAGGAACAAUAUGAUUUUUGGCAAUGUGAUACUCACCGUUGGAUGAAUAUCUGACGGGCCUAGAAAACAUCACACCAGAAAAAUUCAUUCGACUAUCGGUCCCAACAGUUUUCACAUCUCUCUUACUAACAAAGUAAGAGUACAAAUAGUAAAAGUUCAUAACUUCAUAUCAUUUACUAUAAUGUCAAUGAGUAAACAAUGUAUUUGUGUUAACUCAACUCUAUAUUGAUGUUUCGUGGACGGUACAAAUGGUACAAAUUCGUAACUUCAUAAUCACUCACGUCUGAAAAGGACACCAAGCACAUUAAUCACAUGUACAAUGAACAAGGUUAUCAAAAGAAAAAGGAUGUACAAUGAAUACUUGGCUUCUUUCGGUGGUUCCACUCUGUCUAAUGGCAAUUGUGCAUUAGUCUAGUAUUUUCCUUACACAUCUUCUUAGUUUCUGACAACUGAUACGUCUUAAAUAUAUUUAUAAUUCUUUUAUUGUUGCAUGAUGUUAUAAUAUCAGUUUUAUAUGUUUUUAUUAUAAUUUGUAUUAUUUUUAAUUAGCUUAUUAAUUUAGUGCCCAGGGCCAUUUUGCGUGCCAAGGAGGUGGCAUGGUGGACCUCAGGCCAAAGCCGGUGACGACGUUGCGAACGGCAUCGAGCUGCGACGUCGACGGUGAGGCCGAGCCAGGGCCUCGUCGGAGACGAGGACGCCACUAUGAGCGGCAGUGAGCCGUGGCAUCCAAGGUGAAGGCGAGGAGAUAGGUUGACAGGUGUGGGCGGGGCUGCGGUGGCUGCUUUGCAACGUUGAUGGUGGAGUGAGAAGGGGGAUUAAAGGGAUGGCCUUGGACGAGGGAGGUCGAUGCCAGAAUGGGGUGACACGUGGGGGCGAUGCUCGACAAAUAGGGUUGUGUUGUGAGGCGGUGCGGGAGGAACAGGAUGAAUUUUGGCGACAUGCUACUUACUUUAGAUGAAUAUAUGUGACGCCCAAAAAACUUUACACAGAAAAGUUCACUUGACUAUCAGUCCCAACAGAUUUUACAUCUCUCUUAUUAGCAAAGUAGGAGUAGAGAACGGACAUUUGGCUCCCGGGAGCCAUGGAGGCUGAAAUUUUUGAAAAAACCAAAAUUCGAAAAUUUUAGUUCAAAAAAUAUGAAAAAAUAUACAACUAAACAAGGAUGUGAUUCGUGUGUGUGUGUGUGUGUGUGAAAUUUCAGACCGAAAUACUUUGAAACGCGACUUGUACAAAAAAGACAAAUUCAUGGUCAGAAAUGAUGAAUAGUAACAUGUGUUAAAAAGUUUCAGAUUUGUCUUUUUUGCACAGCCCUCAUUUCAACAUGUUUUGUUCUGAAAAUUUACACACUUGUGUAUUAUACCUUCAUCUAUCUAUGUAUUUAUUUCAGAUUUUUAAAAAAUAUUAAAAUAUGAAUUUUCCCGAAAUUUGAAGUUUGAAUUUAAAAGCCUCCAUGAAGCUCGGGAGUCAAAAGCAAUUUCCGAGUAGGAGUACAGAAAGUAGAAGUUCAUAACUUCGUGAUCACUAAUUGUGAUGCCAAUGAGUAAACAAUGUGUUUGUGGUAGCUCAACUCUAUAUUAAUGUUUCGUGAGCAGUACAAAUUGUACAAGUUCAUAACUCUGUAAGCAGAAAAGGACACCAAUCACAUUACUAACAUGUACAAUGAACAAAGGUAUCAAAAGAAAAGGAUGUACAAUGAACCAUUGGCUUCUUUCGGUAAUUGCACUCUAUCUAAUGACGGUUGCGCAUCGCUCUAGUAUUUUCCUUUGCAAUACAUCUUAUUAGUUCUUGACAACUAAUAUGUGUCAAACAUAUUUAUAUUUUUUUUUAUUGUUGCAUGAUGUUAUAAUAUCACUUUCGGAUGUUUUUAUAGUAUCUUAUAUUAUUUUCUGAACUAACUUAUUAAUUCAGUGUCCAGAGCCAUUGUUGUUUCUAGCAUGUUGUUGCUUUUACAACAAACCGGUCAGAAUAAGUCAAAACUGCGAGUUUGAAGAGUUCUACGUACUCGGACCGUGGAGUUUCUGAAACAUUCGAAUCACAUCAGGACCCAAAAUCAGUCACUCAUAGCAUAUAAAACUAGGGGGAAUAGGCCAAAACUGCGAGUUUUGACUAGUUCCCCGUAACCGAACCCCGGAGUACCCGAAAGGUUCGGAUCGCAGCAGUACCCAAAAUCAGUGAGUAAUAACAUACAUAACUGGGCAGAAUAGGCCAAAACUGUGAGUUUUGACGAGUUCCCCGUAACCAGACCCCGGGGUUCCCGAAACAUUUGGAUCGCUGCAGGACACAAAAUCUGUGAGUAACAGCAUACAAAACAGGCGGAAUAGGACAAAACUGCGAGGUUUGACGAGUUCCUCGUAACCGAACCGCGAGGUUCCCGAAACGUUCGGAUUGCAGCACGACACAAAAUCAGUGAGUAAUUGAACAGAAAACUGGCCAGAAUAGACCAAAACUGCGAGUUUUAAAGAGUUCCCCGUAACCGGACCCCGGGAUUCCCAAAACAUUCGAAUCACAUCAAGACCCAAAAUCUGUGAUUAAUAGCAUACAAAACUGGGGGGAAUAGGUCAAAACUGCGAGUUUUGACGAGUUCCGCGUAAGCGGACCUCGAGGUUCCCGAAACGUUCGGAUCCUAGCGGACGGAAAAUCAAUGACAAACUGGCCGGAAUAGGCCAAAACUCCGAGUUUUCACGAGUUCCCCGUAAGCAGUCCCCGGGGUUUCCAAAACGUUCGGAUCCCAAUGGACCCAAAAUCAGUGACUAAUAACAUACAAAACUGGGUGGAAUAGGCCAAAACUGCGAGUUUUAACGAGUUCCCGUAACCGGACACCGGGGUUCCUGAAACGUUCGGAUCGCAGUAGGACCCAAAAUCAGUGAGUAAUAGCAUACAAAACUCGGAGGAAUAGGCCAAAACUGCGAGUUUUGACGAGUUCCCCGUAACCGAACCCGGGGUUCCCGAAACGUUCGGUUCGCAGCAGGACACAAAAUCACUGAGUAAUAGCAUAAAAAACUGACCGGAAUAGGGCAAAACUGUGAGUUUUGAUGAGUUGCCCAUAACCGGACCCCGGGGUUCCCGAAACGUUUGGAUCGCAGCAGGACAUAAAAUCACUAAGUAAUAGUAUCGAAAACUUGCCAGAAUAGGCCAAAACUGUGAGUUUUGAAGAGUUCCCCGUAACCGCACCCGUGGGUUCCCGAAACAUUCGGAUCACAUAAGGACCCAAAAUUAGUGACUAAUAGCAUAGAAAACUGGGUGGAAUAGGCCAAAAGUGAGAGUUUUGACGAGUUCCCCAUAACCAGAUCCCCAGGUUCCUGAAAUGUCCGGAUGGCAGUGAGACCCAAAAUCAGUGACUAAUAGCAUACAAAACUGGCCGGAAUAGGCCAAAACUGGGAGUUUUGACGAGUUCCGCGUAAGCGGACCCCGGGGUUCCCAAAACGUUCGGAUCCUAGCAGACCCAAAACCAGUGACUAAUAGCAUACAAAACUGGGCGGAAUAGGCCAACUGCAAGUUUUGAUGAGUUCCUCGUAACCGGACCCCAGGGUUCCCAAAACGUUUGGAUCGCUGCAGGACACAAAAUCACUGACUAAUAGCAUAAAAAUAUGGCCAGAAUUGGCCAAAACUGCGAGUAAUACCAUACAAAACUGGGAUUCCCGAAACACCGGGGUUCCCGAAACGUUCGAAUGGCAGCGGGACCAAAAUCAGUGACUAAUAGCAUAUGAAACUGGCCUGAAUAGGCCAAAACUGCGAGUUUUGACGAGUCCCCCUUAAUCGGUCCCUGGGGUUCCCGAAACGUUCGGAACCCAGCGGACCCAAAAUCAGUGACUAAUAACAUACAAAACUAUCCAAAAAGGCCAAAGCUGCGAGUUUUGACGAGUUCCCCGUAACCGGACCCCGGGUUCCCUGAAAUGCCGGAUCGCACGAGGACCCAAAAUCAGUGACUAAUAUUAUAGAAAACUGGCUACAAUAGGCCGAAACAUCCGGAUCGCAGCAGGAACCAAAAUCAAUGAGUAAUAGCAUACAAAACUAGGCGGAAUAGGCCAAAACUGCGAGUUUUGACAAGUUCCCCGUAACCGGACCCAGGGUUUCCCGAAACGUUUGGAUCGCAGCACAACCCAAUAUGAGUGCGUAAUAGCAUACAAAACAAGACACAAUAGGCCAAAACUGCGAGUUUUGACGAGUUCCCCGUAACCGGACCCCGGGGUUCCCGAAACGUUCGGAUCGCAGUAGGACCCAAAUCAGUGAGUAAUACCAUACAAAACUGGGAGGAAUAGGCCAAAACUGCGGGUUUUGACGAGUUCCCCGUAACCGAACCCGGUGUUCCCGAAACGUUCGGUUCGUAGCAGGACACAAAAUCAGUGAGUAAUAGCAUAAAAAACUGGCAGGAAUAGGCCAAAACUGUGAGUUUUCAUGAGUUCCCCAUAACGGACCCCGGGGUUCCCGAAACGUUUGCAUCGCAACAAGACACAAAACACUGAGUAAUAGUGUAGAAAACUGGUCUGAAUAGGCCAAAACUGUGAGUUUUGAAGAGCUCCCCGUAACAGAACUUCUGGGUUCCCGAAAGAUUCGGAUCACAUAAGGACCCAAAAUUAGUGAGUAAUAGCAUACAAAACUAGCCGGAAUAGGCCAAAACUGUGAGUUUUGACGAGUUCCCCGUAAGCGGACCCCAGGGUUCCCGAAACGUUUGGAUCCUAGCGGACCCAAAACCAGUGACUAAUAGCAUACAAAAUUGGCCGAAAUAGGCCAAAAGUGCGAGUUUUGAAGAGUUUCCCGUAACCGGACCCCGGGUUUCCCGAAAUGUUCGGAUCGCACCAAGAACCAAAAUCAGUGACUAAUAGUAUAGAAAAUUGGCCACAAUAGGCCAAAAGUGCAAGUUUUGACGGGUUCCCGAUAACCGCACCCCGGGUUUCCCAAAACGUUCGGAUUGCAGCAGGAUCCAAAAUAAGUGAGUAAUAGCAUACAAAACUAGGCGGAAUAGGCCAAAAUUUACGAUUUUUGACGAGUUCCCCAUAAUCGGACCCCGGGAUUUCCCGAAAUGUUAUUUUCGUAGCAGGAACCAAAAUCAGUGAGUAAUAGCAUAGAAAACUGGCCGGAAUAGGGCAGAACUGCGAGUUUUGACGAGUUCCCUAUAACCGGACCCCAGGAUUCCCGAAACGUUCAGAUCGCAGUAGGACCCAAAAUGAGUGAGUAAUAGCAUACAAAACUGGCAAGAAUAGGCAAAAACUACGUGUUUUGAAGAGUUUCCCGUCACUGGACCUCGGGGUUCCCGAAACAUUCGGAUCACAUGAGGACCCAAAAUUAGUGACUAAUAGCAUACAAAACUGGCUGAAUUAAGGCAAAACUGCGGGGGCUCACGAGUUCCACUUAACCGGACCUCGGGGUUCCCGAAACAUUCAGAUCGCAGUAUGACCCAAAAUCAGUGAGUAAUAGCAUAAAAAACUAGGCGGAAUAGGCCAAAACUGUGAGUUUUGACGAGUUCCCCGUGACCGGACCCCAGGGUUCCCGAAAUGUUCGGAUCACAGCGCGACACAAAAUCAGUGAGUAGUCUAGAAAACUUGGCAGAAUAGGCCAAAACUGCGAGUUUUGAAGAGGUCCCCGUAACAGGACCCCCGGGUUCCAGAAACACUCGGAUGACAUCAGGACCCAAAAUCAGUGACUAAUAGCAUACAAAGUUGGGCGGAAUAGGCCAAAACUGCGAGGUUUGACGAGUUCCCCGUAUCCAGACCCCGGGGUUCCCGAAACGUUUGGAUCGCUGCAGGACACAAAAUCACUAACUAAUAGCAUACAAAACUGGGCAGAAUAGGCCAAAACUACGAGUUUUGACGAGUUCCCAGUAACCGGACCCAGGGUUUCGCGAAACGUUCGGAUCGCAGCACAACCCAAUAUGAGUGCGUAAUAGCAUACAAAACUAGGCGCAAUAGGCCAAAACUACGAGUUUUAACGAGUUCCCCGUAACCGAACCCCGGGGUUUCCGAACGUUCGGAUCGCAGUAGGACCCAAAAUCAGUGAGUAAUAGCAUAAAAAACUAGGAGGAAUAGGCCAAAACUGCGAGUUUUGACGAGUUCCCCGUAACCGAACCCGGUGUUCCCGAAACGUUCGGUUCGUAGCAGGACACAAAAUUAGUGAGUAAAAUCGUAAAAAACUGGCAGGAAUAAGCCAAAACUGUGAGUUUUGAUGAGUUCCGCAUAAUGGACCCCGGGGUUCCCGAAAUGUUUGCAUCGCAACAAGACACAAAAUCACUGAGUAAUAGUAUAGAAAACUUGCGAGAAUAGGCCAAAACUGUGAGUUUUGAAGAGCUCCCCAUAGCCGAACUUCUGGGUUCCCGAAAAAUUCGGAUCACAUAAGGACCCAAAAUUAGUGACUAAUAGCAUACAAAACUGGGCGGAAUAGGGCAAAACUGAGAGUUUUGACGAGUUCCCCGUAACCGGACCCCCGAUUCCUGAAAUGUUCGGAUGGCAACGAGACCCAAAAUCAGCGACUAAUAGCAUACAAAAUUGGCCGAAAUAGGCCAAAAGUGCGAGUUUUGAAGAGUUUCCCGUAACCGGACUCCGGGUUUCCCGAAAUGUUCGGAUCGCACCACGAACCAAAAUCAGUGACUAAUAGUAUAGAAAACUGGCCACAAUAGGCCAAAGUGCAAGUUUUGACGGGUUCCCCGUACCCGGACCCCGAGUUUCCCAAAACGUUCGGAUUGCAGCAGGAUCCAAAAUCAGUGAGUACUAGCAUACAAAACUAGGCAGAAGAGGCCAAAAUUUGCUAGUUUUGACGAAUUCCCAUAAUCGGACCCCGGGAUUUCCCGAAAUGUUAUUUUCAUAGCAGGACCCAAAAUCAGUGAGUAAUAGCAUACAAAACUGGCCGGAAUAGGCCAGAACUGCGAGUUUUGACGAGUUCCCCGUAACCGGACCCCGGGAUUUGCCGAAAUGUUAUUUUCGUAGCAGGACCCAAAAUCAGUGAGUAAUAGCAUACAAAACUAGCCGGAAUAGGCCAAAAUUGCGAGUUUUGACGAGUUCCCCGUAACCGGACCCCAGGAUUCCCGAAACGUUCAGAUCGCACCACGACCCAAAAUGAGUGAGUAAUAGCAUACAAAACUAGGCAGAAUAGGCAAAAACUACGUGUUUUGAAGAGUCCCCCGUAACCGGACCCCGGGUUUCCUGAAACAUUCAGAUCACAUGAGGACCCAAAAUCAGUGACUAAUAGCAUACAAAACAGGCCGAAUUAGGGAAAAACCGCGAGAUUUCACGAGUUCCACUUAACCGGACCCCGAGGUUCCCGAAACAUUCAGAUCACAGUACGACCCAAAAUCAGCGAGUAAUAGCAUACAAAAAUGGGCGGAAUAGGCCAAGACUGCGAGUUUUGACGAGUUCCCCGUAACCGGACCCCGGGGUUCCCGAAAUGUUCGGAUCGCAACAGGACACAAAAUCAGUGAGUAGUCUAGAAAACUGGCUAGAAUAGGCCAAAACUGCGAGUUUUGAAGAGUUCCCCGUAACAGGACUCCGGGGUUCCAGAAACAAUCGAAUCACAUCAGACACAAAAUCAGUGACUAAUAGCAUACAAAACUGGGCGGAAUAGGCCAACUGCGAGUUUUGGUGAGUUCCCCGUAACCGGACCCCGGGGUUCCCAAAACGUUUGGAUCGCUGCAGGACACAAAAUCACUGACUAAUAGCAUAAAAAUCUGGUCAGAAUAGGCCAAAACUACGAGUAAUACCAUACAAAACUGGGAUUCCCGAAACACCGGGGUUCCCCGUAACCAGACAUCGGGGUUCCCGAAAUGUUCGAAUGGCAGCGGGACCAAAAUCAGUGACUAAUAGCAUAUGAAACUGGUCUGAAUAGGCCAAAACUGUGAGUUUUGAAGAGCUCCCCGUAACAGAACUUCUGGGUUCCCGAAAGAUUCGGAUCACAUAAGGACCCAAAAUUAGUGAGUAAUAGCAUACAACACUAGCCGGAAUAGGCCAAAACUGUGAGUUUUGACGAGUUCCCCGUAAGCGGACCCCAGGGUUCCCGAAACGUUUGGAUCCUAGCGGACCCAAAACCAGUGACUAAUAGCAUACAAAAUUGGCCGAAAUAGGCCAAAAGUGCGAGUUUUGAAGAGUUUCCCGUAACCGGACCCCGGGUUUUCCGAAAUGUUUGGAUCGCACCAAGAACCAAAAUCAGUGACUAAUAGUAUAGAAAAUUGGCCACAAUAGGCCAAAAGUGGAAGUUUUGACGGGUUCCCCAUAACCGCACCCCGGGUUUCCCAAAACGUUCGGAUUGCAGCAGGAUCUAAAAUCAGUGAGUAAUAGCAUACAAAACUUGGCGGAAUAGGCCAAAAUUUACGAUUUUUGACGAGUUCCCCAUAAGCGGACCCCGGGAUUUCCCGAAAUGUUAUUUUCGUAGCAGGAACCAAAAUCAGUGAGUAAUAGCAUACAAAACUGGCCGGAAUAGGCCAGAACUGCGAGUUUUGACGAGUUCCCUAUAACCGGACCCCAGGAUUCCCGAAACGUUCAGAUCGCAGUAGGACCCAAAAUGAGUGAGUAAUAGCAUACAAAACUGGCAAGAAUAGGCAAAAACUACGUGUUUUGAAGAGUUUCCCGUCACUGGACCUCGGGGUUCCCGAAACAUUCGGAUCACAUGAGGACCCAAAAUUAGUGACUAAUAGCAUACAAAACUGGCUGAAUUAAGGCAAAACUGCGGGGGCUCACGAGUUCCACUUAACCGGACCUCGGGGUUCCCGAAACAUUCAGAUCGCAGUAUGACCCAAAAUCAGUGAGUAACAGCAUAAAAAACUAGGCGGAAUAGGCCAAAACUGUGAGUUUUGACGAGUUCCCCGUGACCGGACCCGAGGGUUCCCGAAAUGUUCGGAUCACAGCACGGCACAAAAUCAGUGAGUAGUCUAGAAAACUUGGUAGAAUAGGCCAAAACUGCGAGUUUUGAAGAGGUCCCCGUAACAGGACCCCGGGGUUCCAGAAACACUCGAAUCACAUCAGGACCCAAAAUCAGUGACUAAUAGCAUACAAAGUUGGGCGGAAUAGGCCAAAACUGCGAGGUUUGACGAGUUCCCCGUAUCCAGACCCCGGGGUUCCCGAAACGUUUGGAUCGCUACAGGACACAAAAUCACUAACUAAUAGCAUACAAAACUGGGCAGAAUAGGCCAAAACUACGAGUUUUGACGAGUUCCCAGUAACCGGACCCAGGGUUUCACGAAACAUUCGGAUCGCAGCACAACCCAAUAUGAGUGCGUAAUAGCAUACAAAACUAGGCGCAAUAGGCCAAAACUACGAGUUUUGACGAGUUCCUCUUAACCGAACCCCGGGGUUCCCGAACGUUCGGAUCGGAGUAGGACCCAAAAUCAGUGAGUAAUAGCAUAAAAACUAGGAGGAAUAGGCCAAAACUGCGAGUUUUGACGAGUUCCCCGUAACCGAACCCGGUGUUCCCGAAACGUUCAGUUCGUAGCAGGACACAAAAUCAGUGAGUAAAAUCGUAAAAAACUGGCAGGAAUAAGCCAAAACUGUGAGUUUUGAUGAGUUCCCCAUAAUGGACCCCGGGGUUCCCGAAACGUUUGCAUCGCAACAAGACACAAAAUCACUUAGUAAUAGUAUAGAAAACUUGCGAGAAUAGGCCAAAACUGUGAGUUUUGAAGAGCUCCCCAUAACCGAACUUCUGGGUUCCCGAAAAAUUCGGAUCACAUAAGGACCAAAAAUUAGUGACUAAUAGCAUACAAAACUGGGCGGAAUAGGCCAAAACUGAGAGUUAUGACGAGUUCCCCGUAACUGGACCCCCGGGUUCCUGAAAUGUUCGGAUGGCAACGAGACCCAAAAUCAGCGACUAAUGGCAUACAAAAUUGGCCGAAAUAGGCCAAAAGUGCGAGUUUUGAAGAGUUUCCCGUAACCGGACUCCGGGUUUCCUGAAAUGUUCGGAUCGCACCAGGAACCAAAAUCAGUGACUAAUAGUAUAGAAAACUGGCCACAAUAGGCCAAAGUGCAAGUUUUGACGGGUUCCCCGUAACCGGACCCCGGGUUUCCCAAAACGUUCGGAUUGCAGCAGGAUCCGAAAUCAGUGAGUACUAGCAUACAAAACUAGGCAGAAGAGGCCAAAAUUUGCGAGUUUUGACGAGUUCCCAUAAUCGGACCCCGGGAUUUCCCGAAAUGUUAUUUUCAUAGCAGGACCCAAAAUCAGUGAGUAAUAGCAUACAAAACUGGCCGGAAUAGGCCAGAACUGCGAGUUUUGACGAGUUCCCCGUAACCGGACCCCGGGAUUUGCCGAAAUGUUAUUUUCGUAGCAGGACCCAAAAUCAGUGAGUAAUAGCAUACAAAACUAGCCGGAAUAGGCCAAAACUGCGAGUUUUGACGAGUUCCCCGUAACCGGACCCCAGGAUUCCCGAAACGUUCAGAUCGCACCAGGACCCAAAAUGAGUGAGUAAUAGCAUACAAAACUAGGCAGAAUAGGCAAAAACUACGUGUUUUGAAGAGUCCCCCGUAACCGGACCCCGGGGUUCCCGAAGCAUUCAGAUCACAUGAGGACCCAAAAUCAGUGACUAAUAGCAUACAAAACAGGCCGAAUUAGGGCAAAACCGCGAGAUUUCACGUGUUCCACUUAACCGGACCCCGAGGUUCCCGAAACGUUCAGAUCACAGUACGACCCAAAAUCAACGAGUAAUAGCAUACAAAAAUGGGCGGAAUAGGCCAAGACUGCGAGUUUUGACGAGUUCCCCGUAACCGGAGCCCGGGGUUCCCGAAAUGUUCGGAUCGCAACAGGACACAAAAUCAGUGAGUAGUCUUGAAAACUGGCCAGAAUAGGCCAAAACUGCGAGUUUUGAAGAGUUCCCCGUAACAGGACUCCGGGGUUCCAGAAACAAUCGAAUCACAUCACGACACAAAAUCAGUGACUAAUAGCAUACAAAACUGGGCGGAAUAGGCCAACAGCGAGUUUUGGUGAGUUCCCCGUAACCGGAACCCGGGGUUCCCAAAACGUUUGGAUCGCUGCAGGACACAAAAUCACUGACUAAUAGCAUAAAAAUCUGGCCAGAAUAGGCCAAAACUACGAGUAAUACCAUACAAAACUGGGAUUUCCGAAACACCGGGGUUCCCCAUAACCGGACAUCGGGGUUCCCGAAAUGUUCGAAUGGCAGCGGGACCAAAAUCAGUGACUAAUAGCAUAUGAAACUGGUCUGAAUAGGCCAAAACUGCGAGUUUUGAAGAGCUCCCCGUAACAGAACUUCUGGGUUCCCGAAAGAUUCGGAUCACAUAAGGACCCAAAAUUAGUGAGUAAUAGCAUACAAAACUAGCCGGAAUAGGCCAAAACUGUGAGUUUUGACGAGUUCCCCGUAAGCGGACCCCAGGGUUCCCGAAACGUUUGGAUCCUAGCGGACCCAAAACCAGUGACUAAUAGCAUACAAAAUUGGCCGAAAUAGGCCAAAAGUGCGAGUUUUGAAGAGUUUCCCGUAACCGGACCCCGGGUUUCCCGAAAUGUUCGGAUCGCGCCAGGAACCAAAAUCAGUGACUAAUAGUAUAGAAAAUUGGCCACAAUAGGCCAAAAGUGCAAGUUUUGACGGGUUCCCCAUAACCGCACCCCGGGUUUCCCAAAACGUUCGGAUUGCAGCAGGAUCCAAAAUCUGUGAGUAAUAGCAUACAAAACUAGGUGGAAUAGGCCAAAAAUUACGAUUUUUGACGAGUUCCCCAUAAUCGGACCCCGGGAUUUCCCGAAAUGUUAUUUUCGUAGCAGGAACCAAAAUCAGUGAGUAAUACCAUACAAAACUGGCUGGAAUAGGCCAGAACUGUGAGUUUUGACGAGUUCCCUAUAACCGGACCCCAGGAUUUCCGAAACCUUCAGAUCGGAGUAGGACCCAAAAUGAGUGAGUAAUAGCAUACAAAACCGGCAAGAAUAGGCAAAAACUACUUGUUUUGAAGAGUUUCCCGUCACCGGACCUCGGGGUUCCCGAAACAUUCGCAUCACAUGAGGACCCAAAAUCAGUGACUAAUAGCAUAUAAAACUGGCCGAAUUAAGGCAAAACUGCGGGGUUUCACGAGUUCCACUUAACCGGACCUCGGGGUUCCCGAAACGUUCAGAUCGCAGUACGACCCAAAAUCAAUGAGUAAUAGCAUAAAAACUAGGCGGAAUAGGCCAAAACUGUGAGUUUUGACGAGUUCCCCGUGACCGGACCCGAGGGUUCCCGAAAUGUUCGGAUCACAGCACGACACAAAAUCAGUGAGUAGUCUAGAAAACUUGGCAGAAUAGGCCAAAACUGCGAGUUUUGAAGAGGUCCCCGUAACAGGACUCCAGGGUUCCAGAAACACUCGGAUCACAUCAGGACCCAAAAUCAGUGACUAAUAGCAUACAAAGUUGGGCGGAAUAGGCCAAAACUGCGAGGUUUGACGAGUUCCCCGUAUCCAGACCCCGGGGUUCCCGAAACGUUUGGAUCGCUGCAGGACACAAAAUCACUAACUAAUACCAUACAAAACUGUGCAGAAUAGGCCAAAACUACGAGUUUUGACGAGUUCCCAGUAUCCGGACCCAGGGUUUCGCGAAACGUUCGGAUCGCAGAACAACCCAAUAUGAGUGCAUAAUAGCAUACAAAACUAGGCGCAAUAGGCCAAAACUACGAGUUUUGACGAGUUCCUCGUAACCGAACCCCGGGGUUCCCGAACGUUCGGAUCGCAGUAGGACCCAAAAUCAGUGAGUAAUAGCAUAAAAAACUAGGAGGAAUAGGCCAAAACUGCGAGUUUUGACGAGUUCCCGGUAACCGAACCCGGUGUUCCCGAAACGUUCGGUUCGUAGCAGGACACAAAAUUAGUGAGUAAAAUCGUAAAAAACUGGCAGGAAUAAGCCAAAACUGUGAGUUUUGAUGAGUUCCCCAUAAUGGACCCCGGGGUUCCCGAAACGUUUGCAUCGCAACAAGACACAAAAUCAUUGAGUAAUACUAUAGAAAACUUGCGAGAAUAGGCCAAAACUGUGAGUUUUGAAGAGCUCCCCAUAACCGAACUUCUGGGUUCCCGAAAAAUUCGGAUCACAUAAGGACCAAAAAUUAGUGACUAAUAGCAUACAAAACUGGGCGGAAUAGGCCAAAACUGAGAGUUUUGACGAGUUCCCCAUAACCGGACCCCCGGGUUCCUGAAAUGUUCGGAUGGCAACGAGACCCAAAAUCAGCGACUAAUAGCAUACAAAAUUGGCCGAAAUAGGCCAAAAGUGCGAGUUUUGAAGAGUUUCCCGUAACCGGACUCCGGGUUUCCCGAAAUGUUCGGAUCGCACCAGGAACCAAAAUCAGUGACUAAUAGUAUAGAAAACUGGCCACAAUAGGCGAAAGUGCAAGUUUUGACGGGUUCCCCGUAACCGGACCCCGGGUUUCCCAAAACAUUCGGAUUGCAGCAGGAUCAAAAAUCAGUGAGUACUAGCAUACAAAACUAGGCAGAAGAGGCCAAAAUUUGCGAGUUUUGACGAGUUCCCAUAAUCGGACCCCGGAUUUCCCAAAAUGUUAUUUUCAUAGCAGGACCCAAAAUCAGUGAGUAAUAGCAUACAAAACUGGCCGGAAUAGGCCAGAACUGCGAGUUUUGACGAGUUCCCCGUAACCGGACCCCGGGAUUUGCCGAAAUGUUAUUUUCGUAGCAGGACCCAAAAUCAGUGAGUAAUAGCAUACAAAACUAGCCGGAAUAGGCCAAAACUGCGAGUUUUGACGAGUUCCCCGUAACCGGACCCCAGGAUUCCCGAAACGUUCAGAUCGCACCAGGACCCAAAAUGAGUGAGUAAUAGCAUACAAAACUAGGCAGAAUAGGCAAAAACUACGUGUUUUGAAGAGUCCCACGUAAUCGGACCCCAGGGUUCCCGAAACAUUCAGAUCACAUGAGCACCCCAAAUCAAUGACUAAUAGCAUACAAAACAGGCCGAAUUAGGGCAAAACCGCGAGAUUUCACGUGUUCCACUUAACCGGACCCCGAGGUUCCCGAAACGUUCAGAUCACAGUACGACCCAAAAUCAGCGAGUAAUAGCAUACAAAAAUGGGCGGAAUAGGCCAAGACUGCGAGUUUUGACGAGUUCCCCGUAACCGGAUCCCGGGGUUCCCGAAAUGUUCGGAUCGCAACAGGACACAAAAUCAGUGAGUAGUCUAGAAAACUGGCCAGAAUAGGCCAAAACUGCGAGUUUUGAAGAGUUCCCCGUAACAGGACUCCGGGGUUCGAGAAACAAUCGAAUCACAUCAGGACACAAAAUCAGUGACUAAUAGCAUACAAAACUGGGCGGAAUAGGCCAACUGCGAGUUUUGGUGAGUUCCCCGUAACCGGACCCCGGGGUUCCCAAAACGUUUGGAUCGCUGCAGGACACAAAAUCACUGACUAAUAGCAUAAAAAUCUGGCCAGAAUAGGCCAAAACAACGAGUAAUACCAUACAAAACUAGGAUUCCCGAAACACCGGGGUUCCCCGUAACCGGACAUCGGGGUUCCCGAAAUGUUCGAAUGGCAGCGGGACUAAAAUCAGUGACUAAUAGCAUAUGAAAUUGGCCUGAAUAGGCCAUAACUGCAAGUUUUGACGAGUCCCCCUUAAUCGGUCUCUGGGGUUCCCGAAACGUUCGGAACCCAGCGGACCCAAAAUCAGUGACUAAUAGCAUACAAAACUACACAAAAAGGCCAAAGCUGCGAGUUUUGACGAGUUCCCCGUAACCGGACCCCGGGUUCCCUGAAAUAUUCGGAUCGCACGAGGACCCAAAAUCAGUGACUAAUAUUAUAGAAAACUGGCUACAAUAGGCAGAAACGUCCGGAUCGCAGCGGGACCCAAAAUCAGUGAGUAAUAGCAUAGAAAACUAGGCGGAAUAGGCCAAAACUACGAGUUUUGACAAGUUCCCCGUAACCGGACCGAGGGUUUCCCGAAAUGUUCGGAUCACAGCACAACCCAAUAUGAGUGCGUAAUAGCAUACGAAACUAGGCGCAAUAGGCCAAAACAGCGAGUUUUGAUGAGUUCCCCGUAACCGGACCCCGGGUUUCCCGAAACGUUCAGAUUGCAGCAGGAUCCAAAAUUAGUGAGUAAUAGCAUACAAAACUAGGCGCAAUAGGCAAAAACUACGUGUUUUGAAGAGUACCCCGUAAUCGGACCCCGGGAUUUCCCGAAAUGUUAUUUUUGUAGCAGGACCCAAAAUCAGUGAUUAAUAGCAUACAAAACUGGCCGGAAUAGGCGAGAACUGCGAGUUUUGACGAGUUCCUCGUAACCGGACACCGGGAUUCCCGAAACGUUCAGAUCGCAGCAGGACCCAAAAUGAGUGAGUAAUAGCAUACAAAAUGGGCACAAUAGGCAAAAACUACGUAUUUUGAAGAGUACCCCGUAACCGGACCCCGGGGUUCCCGAAACAUUCAGAUCACAUGAGGACCCAAAUUCAGUGACUAAUAGUAUACAAAACUGGCCGAGUUAGGGCAAAACCGCGAGUUUUCACGAGUUCCACUUAACCGGACCCCAGGGUUCCCGAAACGUUCAGAUCAUAGUACGAUCCAAAAUUAGUGAGUAAUAGCAUACAAAACUGGGCGGAAUAGGCCAAAAUUGCGAGUUUUGACAAGUUCCUCGUAAACGGACCCCGGGGUUCGAGAAAUGUUCGGAUCGCAGGAGGACAGAAUAUCAGUGAGUAAUCUCGAAAACUGGCUAGAAUAGGCCAAAACUGCGAGUUUUGAAGAGUUCCCCGUAACAGGACCCCGGGGUUCCGGAAACACUCGGAUCACAUCAGGGCCCAAAAUCAGUGAUUAAUAGCAUACAAAACUAGGCGGAAUAGGCCAAAACUGCGAGUUUUGAUGAGUUCCCCGUAACCGGACCCCGGGGUUCCCGAAACGGUUGGAUAGGUGCACGACACAAAAUCACUCACUAAUAGCAUACAAAACUGGGCAGAAUAAGCCAAAACUGCGAGUUUUGACGAGUUCCCCGUAACCGGACCCCGGGGUUCCUGAAACGUUCGGGUGGCAGCGGGACCAAAUUCAAUGACUAAUAGCAUACAAAACUGGCCGGAAUAGGCCAAAACUGCGAGUUUUGACGAGUCCCUGCUACCGCGAAAGAAACCUUUCUGUCACCCCUUGAGCUUGCGUUGGUUUUUUCCCUUGAAGAGGAAAGGGCGAUGCAGCACACGAGCAUUAAGUAUUUCCCUCAGUUGAGAACCAAGGUAUCAAUCCAGUAGGAGAAUCGCGUCAAGUCCAGAGUACCUGCACAAACACAAAAGAGCUUGCACCCAACGCCAUAAAGGGGUUGUCAAUCCCUUCAAGAUUGAUUGCAAAGUGAGAUCUGAAGGCGGAAAGUGCAACGAAGUAAAAGUGCAAGGCUGAAGAUAUGGUGUGGAGUAGACCCGGGGGCCAUAGUGUUCACUAGAGGCUUCUCUCAAAAUAGCAAAUAUUACGGUGGGUGAACAAAUUAGUGUCGAGCAAUUGAUAGAACAACGUAAAGUCAUGACGGACAGAGUAACGCCUUAAGCAAGAUGACAUGAUGUAGAGGGAUAAUCUCAAACCAAUGAUCAAAACCCCAUCUUUUUACCCUUGAUGGCAACAACGUGAUGCGCGCCUCGCUACCCCUUCUGUCACUGGGUGAGGUCACCGCACGGUAUGAACCCAAAACCAAGCACUUCUCCCAUUGCAAGAAUCAUAUAUCUAGUUGGCCAAACAAAACCUACAACUCAAAGAGAAUUACAAGGAUAUGAAAUCAUGCAUAAGAGAGAUGAGAAGAAACUCAAAUAAGAUUCAUAGAUAAUCUGAUUAUAAAUCCACAAUUCAUCGGAUCUAGACAAACACACCGCAAAAGAAGAUUACAUCGGAUAGAUCUUCAUGAAGAUCAUGGAGAACUUUGUAUUGAAGAUCCAAGAGAGAGAAGAAGCCAUCUAGCUACUAGCUAUGGACCCGUAGGUCUAUGGUGAACUACUCACACAUCAUCGGAGAGGUCAUGGUGUUUAUGAAGAAGCCCUCCGUGUCCGAAUCCCCCCCCCCGACAGGGCACCAAAACGUGCCCCAGAUGGGAUCUUGCGGAGACAGAAGCUUNNNNNNNNNNNNNNNNNNNNNNNNNNNNNNNNNNNNNNNNNNNNNNNNNNNNNNNNNNNNNNNNNNNNNNNNNNNNNNNNNNNNNNNNNNNNNNNNNNNNAAAACUGCGAGUUUGAAGAGUUCCCCGUAACAGGACUCCGGGGUUCCAGAAACAAUCGAAUCACAUCAGACACAAAAUCAGUGACUAAUAGCAUACAAAACUGGGCGGAAUAGGCCAACUGCGAGUUUUGGUGAGUUCCCCGUAACCGGACCCCGGGGUUCCCAAAACGUUUGGAUCGCUGCAGGACACAAAAUCACUGACUAAUAGCAUAAAAAUCUGGUCAGAAUAGGCCAAAACUACGAGUAAUACCAUACAAAACUGGGAUUCCCGAAACACCGGGGUUCCCCGUAACCAGACAUCGGGGUUCCCGAAAUGUUCGAAUGGCAGCGGGACCAAAAUCAGUGACUAAUAGCAUAUGAAACUGGUCUGAAUAGGCCAAAACUGUGAGUUUUGAAGAGCUCCCCGUAACAGAACUUCUGGGUUCCCGAAAGAUUCGGAUCACAUAAGGACCCAAAAUUAGUGAGUAAUAGCAUACAACACUAGCCGGAAUAGGCCAAAACUGUGAGUUUUGACGAGUUCCCCGUAAGCGGACCCCAGGGUUCCCGAAACGUUUGGAUCCUAGCGGACCCAAAACCAGUGACUAAUAGCAUACAAAAUUGGCCGAAAUAGGCCAAAAGUGCGAGUUUUGAAGAGUUUCCCGUAACCGGACCCCGGGUUUUCCGAAAUGUUUGGAUCGCACCAAGAACCAAAAUCAGUGACUAAUAGUAUAGAAAAUUGGCCACAAUAGGCCAAAAGUGGAAGUUUUGACGGGUUCCCCAUAACCGCACCCCGGGUUUCCCAAAACGUUCGGAUUGCAGCAGGAUCUAAAAUCAGUGAGUAAUAGCAUACAAAACUUGGCGGAAUAGGCCAAAAUUUACGAUUUUUGACGAGUUCCCCAUAAGCGGACCCCGGGAUUUCCCGAAAUGUUAUUUUCGUAGCAGGAACCAAAAUCAGUGAGUAAUAGCAUACAAAACUGGCCGGAAUAGGCCAGAACUGCGAGUUUUGACGAGUUCCCUAUAACCGGACCCCAGGAUUCCCGAAACGUUCAGAUCGCAGUAGGACCCAAAAUGAGUGAGUAAUAGCAUACAAAACUGGCAAGAAUAGGCAAAAACUACGUGUUUUGAAGAGUUUCCCGUCACUGGACCUCGGGGUUCCCGAAACAUUCGGAUCACAUGAGGACCCAAAAUUAGUGACUAAUAGCAUACAAAACUGGCUGAAUUAAGGCAAAACUGCGGGGGCUCACGAGUUCCACUUAACCGGACCUCGGGGUUCCCGAAACAUUCAGAUCGCAGUAUGACCCAAAAUCAGUGAGUAACAGCAUAAAAAACUAGGCGGAAUAGGCCAAAACUGUGAGUUUUGACGAGUUCCCCGUGACCGGACCCGAGGGUUCCCGAAAUGUUCGGAUCACAGCACGGCACAAAAUCAGUGAGUAGUCUAGAAAACUUGGUAGAAUAGGCCAAAACUGCGAGUUUUGAAGAGGUCCCCGUAACAGGACCCCGGGGUUCCAGAAACACUCGAAUCACAUCAGGACCCAAAAUCAGUGACUAAUAGCAUACAAAGUUGGGCGGAAUAGGCCAAAACUGCGAGGUUUGACGAGUUCCCCGUAUCCAGACCCCGGGGUUCCCGAAACGUUUGGAUCGCUACAGGACACAAAAUCACUAACUAAUAGCAUACAAAACUGGGCAGAAUAGGCCAAAACUACGAGUUUUGACGAGUUCCCAGUAACCGGACCCAGGGUUUCACGAAACAUUCGGAUCGCAGCACAACCCAAUAUGAGUGCGUAAUAGCAUACAAAACUAGGCGCAAUAGGCCAAAACUACGAGUUUUGACGAGUUCCUCUUAACCGAACCCCGGGGUUCCCGAACGUUCGGAUCGGAGUAGGACCCAAAAUCAGUGAGUAAUAGCAUAAAAACUAGGAGGAAUAGGCCAAAACUGCGAGUUUUGACGAGUUCCCCGUAACCGAACCCGGUGUUCCCGAAACGUUCAGUUCGUAGCAGGACACAAAAUCAGUGAGUAAAAUCGUAAAAAACUGGCAGGAAUAAGCCAAAACUGUGAGUUUUGAUGAGUUCCCCAUAAUGGACCCCGGGGUUCCCGAAACGUUUGCAUCGCAACAAGACACAAAAUCACUUAGUAAUAGUAUAGAAAACUUGCGAGAAUAGGCCAAAACUGUGAGUUUUGAAGAGCUCCCCAUAACCGAACUUCUGGGUUCCCGAAAAAUUCGGAUCACAUAAGGACCAAAAAUUAGUGACUAAUAGCAUACAAAACUGGGCGGAAUAGGCCAAAACUGAGAGUUAUGACGAGUUCCCCGUAACUGGACCCCCGGGUUCCUGAAAUGUUCGGAUGGCAACGAGACCCAAAAUCAGCGACUAAUGGCAUACAAAAUUGGCCGAAAUAGGCCAAAAGUGCGAGUUUUGAAGAGUUUCCCGUAACCGGACUCCGGGUUUCCUGAAAUGUUCGGAUCGCACCAGGAACCAAAAUCAGUGACUAAUAGUAUAGAAAACUGGCCACAAUAGGCCAAAGUGCAAGUUUUGACGGGUUCCCCGUAACCGGACCCCGGGUUUCCCAAAACGUUCGGAUUGCAGCAGGAUCCGAAAUCAGUGAGUACUAGCAUACAAAACUAGGCAGAAGAGGCCAAAAUUUGCGAGUUUUGACGAGUUCCCAUAAUCGGACCCCGGGAUUUCCCGAAAUGUUAUUUUCAUAGCAGGACCCAAAAUCAGUGAGUAAUAGCAUACAAAACUGGCCGGAAUAGGCCAGAACUGCGAGUUUUGACGAGUUCCCCGUAACCGGACCCCGGGAUUUGCCGAAAUGUUAUUUCGUAGCAGGACCCAAAAUCAGUGAGUAAUAGCAUACAAAACUAGCCGGAAUAGGCCAAAACUGCGAGUUUUGACGAGUUCCCCGUAACCGGACCCCAGGAUUCCCGAAACGUUCAGAUCGCACCAGGACCCAAAAUGAGUGAGUAAUAGCAUACAAAACUAGGCAGAAUAGGCAAAAACUACGUGUUUUGAAGAGUCCCACGUAAUCGGACCCCAGGGUUCCCGAAACAUUCAGAUCACAUGAGCACCCCAAAUCAAUGACUAAUAGCAUACAAAACAGGCCGAAUUAGGGCAAAACCGCGAGAUUUCACGUGUUCCACUUAACCGGACCCCGAGGUUCCCGAAACGUUCAGAUCACAGUACGACCCAAAAUCAGCGAGUAAUAGCAUACAAAAAUGGGCGGAAUAGGCCAAGACUGCGAGUUUUGACGAGUUCCCCGUAACCGGAUCCCGGGGUUCCCGAAAUGUUCGGAUCGCAACAGGACACAAAAUCAGUGAGUAGUCUAGAAAACUGGCCAGAAUAGGCCAAAACUGCGAGUUUUGAAGAGUUCCCCGUAACAGGACUCCGGGGUUCGAGAAACAAUCGAAUCACAUCAGGACACAAAAUCAGUGACUAAUAGCAUACAAAACUGGGCGGAAUAGGCCAACUGCGAGUUUUGGUGAGUUCCCCGUAACCGGACCCCGGGGUUCCCAAAACGUUUGGAUCGCUGCAGGACACAAAAUCACUGACUAAUAGCAUAAAAAUCUGGCCAGAAUAGGCCAAAACAACGAGUAAUACCAUACAAAACUAGGAUUCCCGAAACACCGGGGUUCCCCGUAACCGGACAUCGGGGUUCCCGAAAUGUUCGAAUGGCAGCGGGACUAAAAUCAGUGACUAAUAGCAUAUGAAAUUGGCCUGAAUAGGCCAUAACUGCAAGUUUUGACGAGUCCCCCUUAAUCGGUCUCUGGGGUUCCCGAAACGUUCGGAACCCAGCGGACCCAAAAUCAGUGACUAAUAGCAUACAAAACUACACAAAAAGGCCAAAGCUGCGAGUUUUGACGAGUUCCCCGUAACCGGACCCCGGGUUCCCUGAAAUAUUCGGAUCGCACGAGGACCCAAAAUCAGUGACUAAUAUUAUAGAAAACUGGCUACAAUAGGCAGAAACGUCCGGAUCGCAGCGGGACCCAAAAUCAGUGAGUAAUAGCAUAGAAAACUAGGCGGAAUAGGCCAAAACUACGAGUUUUGACAAGUUCCCCGUAACCGGACCGAGGGUUUCCCGAAAUGUUCGGAUCACAGCACAACCCAAUAUGAGUGCGUAAUAGCAUACGAAACUAGGCGCAAUAGGCCAAAACAGCGAGUUUUGAUGAGUUCCCCGUAACCGGACCCCGGGUUUCCCGAAACGUUCAGAUUGCAGCAGGAUCCAAAAUUAGUGAGUAAUAGCAUACAAAACUAGGCGCAAUAGGCAAAAACUACGUGUUUUGAAGAGUACCCCGUAAUCGGACCCCGGGAUUUCCCGAAAUGUUAUUUUUGUAGCAGGACCCAAAAUCAGUGAUUAAUAGCAUACAAAACUGGCCGGAAUAGGCGAGAACUGCGAGUUUUGACGAGUUCCUCGUAACCGGACACCGGGAUUCCCGAAACGUUCAGAUCGCAGCAGGACCCAAAAUGAGUGAGUAAUAGCAUACAAAAUGGGCACAAUAGGCAAAAACUACGUAUUUUGAAGAGUACCCCGUAACCGGACCCCGGGGUUCCCGAAACAUUCAGAUCACAUGAGGACCCAAAUUCAGUGACUAAUAGUAUACAAAACUGGCCGAGUUAGGGCAAAACCGCGAGUUUUCACGAGUUCCACUUAACCGGACCCCAGGGUUCCCGAAACGUUCAGAUCAUAGUACGAUCCAAAAUUAGUGAGUAAUAGCAUACAAAACUGGGCGGAAUAGGCCAAAAUUGCGAGUUUUGACAAGUUCCUCGUAAACGGACCCCGGGGUUCGAGAAAUGUUCGGAUCGCAGGAGGACAGAAUAUCAGUGAGUAAUCUCGAAAACUGGCUAGAAUAGGCCAAAACUGCGAGUUUUGAAGAGUUCCCCGUAACAGGACCCCGGGGUUCCGGAAACACUCGGAUCACAUCAGGGCCCAAAAUCAGUGAUUAAUAGCAUACAAAACUAGGCGGAAUAGGCCAAAACUGCGAGUUUUGAUGAGUUCCCCGUAACCGGACCCCGGGGUUCCCGAAACGGUUGGAUAGGUGCACGACACAAAAUCACUCACUAAUAGCAUACAAAACUGGGCAGAAUAAGCCAAAACUGCGAGUUUUGACGAGUUCCCCGUAACCGGACCCCGGGGUUCCUGAAACGUUCGGGUGGCAGCGGGACCAAAUUCAAUGACUAAUAGCAUACAAAACUGGCCGGAAUAGGCCAAAACUGCGAGUUUUGACGAGUCCCUGCUACCGCGAAAGAAACCUUUCUGUCACCCCUUGAGCUUGCGUUGGUUUUUUCCCUUGAAGAGGAAAGGGCGAUGCAGCACACGAGCAUUAAGUAUUUCCCUCAGUUGAGAACCAAGGUAUCAAUCCAGUAGGAGAAUCGCGUCAAGUCCAGAGUACCUGCACAAACACAAAAGAGCUUGCACCCAACGCCAUAAAGGGGUUGUCAAUCCCUUCAAGAUUGAUUGCAAAGUGAGAUCUGAAGGCGGAAAGUGCAACGAAGUAAAAGUGCAAGGCUGAAGAUAUGGUGUGGAGUAGACCCGGGGGCCAUAGUGUUCACUAGAGGCUUCUCUCAAAAUAGCAAAUAUUACGGUGGGUGAACAAAUUAGUGUCGAGCAAUUGAUAGAACAACGUAAAGUCAUGACGGACAGAGUAACGCCUUAAGCAAGAUGACAUGAUGUAGAGGGAUAAUCUCAAACCAAUGAUCAAAACCCCAUCUUUUUACCCUUGAUGGCAACAACGUGAUGCGCGCCUCGCUACCCCUUCUGUCACUGGGUGAGGUCACCGCACGGUAUGAACCCAAAACCAAGCACUUCUCCCAUUGCAAGAAUCAUAUAUCUAGUUGGCCAAACAAAACCUACAACUCAAAGAGAAUUACAAGGAUAUGAAAUCAUGCAUAAGAGAGAUGAGAAGAAACUCAAAUAAGAUUCAUAGAUAAUCUGAUUAUAAAUCCACAAUUCAUCGGAUCUAGACAAACACACCGCAAAAGAAGAUUACAUCGGAUAGAUCUUCAUGAAGAUCAUGGAGAACUUUGUAUUGAAGAUCCAAGAGAGAGAAGAAGCCAUCUAGCUACUAGCUAUGGACCCGUAGGUCUAUGGUGAACUACUCACACAUCAUCGGAGAGGUCAUGGUGUUUAUGAAGAAGCCCUCCGUGUCCGAAUCCCCCCCCCCGACAGGGCACCAAAACGUGCCCCAGAUGGGAUCUUGCGGAGACAGAAGCUUGCAACGUUCGAUGAUCUCCUGAUUUUUUCUGGGAUUUUAGGGAAUAUAUAGGUGAAAAACCUAGGGCAGGGGAGCCACGGGGAGCUCACAAGCCUGCUAGGCCCGGCCUCCCUAGGUCGGGCCUGGUGGGCUUGUGACCUCCUCUGACGUCCCCUGCCUUGGUUCGCAAGUCUCUCGUGUGUCUUCUAUCAUGGAAAAAAUCAUUCCGCAGAUUUUAUUCCGUUUGGACACCGUUUAAAAUUCUCCUCCGAAAAGGGUCAAAACCACGGAAAAAACAGGAACUGGCACUUGGCACUGAGUUAAUAAGUUAGUCCCAAAAAAGAUAUAAAAGGCAUACAAAACAUCCAAAGUUUGACAAGAUAAUAGCAUGAAACCAUAAAAAAUUAUAGAUAUGUUGGAGACGUAUCAAGCAUCCCCAAGCUUAACUCCUGCUCGUCCUCGAGUAGGGAAGGGAUAAAGACUGAAUUUUUGAUGUGGAAUGCUACCUAGCAUAGUUGUCCUUUGCAACUUAUUUCAUGUGACAUGAAUGUUCAGAUCCGUAAGAUUCAAAACAAUAGUUUGCUAUUGACAUGAAAACAAUAAUACUUCAAGCAAACUAGCAAGGUAAUCAUGAACUUUCAAAAUAACAAGGCCAAGGAAAGUUAUCCCUACAAAAUCAUAUAGACUGGCUAUGCUCCAUCAUCCUCACAGAACUAAUGCAAAUCAUGCACAAGCCCGCUAUUGGCCAAGUAAUUGUUUUCGCACUCUUACUUUCUCAAACCUUUUAUAACUAUCGCGCAAUACAUGAGCGUGAGCCAUGGAUAUAGCACUAUAGGUGGAAUAGAGUGUGGUGGUGGUUGUGAGACAAAAAGGAGGAGAUGGUCACAUUGACUCGGCGUAUCAAAAGGCUAUGGAGAUGCCCAUUAAUAUAUAUCAAUGUGAAUGAGUAGGGAUUUCCAUACAAGGGAUGCACUAGAGCUAUAAGUAUGUGAAAGCUCAAAAGGAGAACUAGUGGGUGUGGAUCCAACUUGCUUGCUCACGAAGACCUAGGGCAAUUUGAGGAAGCCCAUCAUUGGAAUAUACAAGCCAAGUUAUAUAAUGAAGAUUCCCACUAGCAUAUGGUACUGACAAAGCAUGAAGCUCUCAAUCAUGAAGAACAUGGUGCUAUUAUGAAGCACAAGUGUGGAAAAAGAUAGUAGCAUUGUCCCUUCUCUCUUUUUCUCUCUUCUCUUUUUUUUGGGGCUCUUGGGACUUUUUUUUAUUUUGGGUUCUUUGGCCUCUUUUUUAUUAUUAUUUUUUAUUUCCUCACACGGGACAAUGAUCUAAUAAUGAUGCUCAUCACACUUUUAUUUACUCACAGCUCAAAGCUCAAAAUGAUGAUGACUCUAUAGAAAAUGCCUCCGGCAGUGUACCGGGAUGUGCAACGAUCUAGCUUAGCGUAUGACGUUGAAGCAUCUCGCUAGCUAUCUUACGAUCAUGCAAUGGCAAUAUGAGAGUGACGACACAAGUCAUGAGACGGAACGGUGGGAGUUGCAUGGCAAUAUAUCUCGGAAUGGCUAUGAAAAUGCAAUAGUAGGUAGGUAUGGUGGCUGUUUUGAGGAAGGCAUAUGGUGGGUUUGUGCACCGGCGAGAAUUGCGCGGCACUAGAGAGGCUAGCAAUGGUGGAAGAUGAAAGUGCAUCUAUACCAUGGACUCACAUUAGUCAUGAAAGUGCAUCUAAGAUGAAAGGGCAAAUAUUUUUGUAAAUUUUUGUUUUUCAGAAGUGGGGGAGAGGAAACCGAGAGGCUAAAAAGUAAAUGCAAGAGAUGAGUUUGCGACACUGACUUGGAUGAGUUCUUGACAUGAUCCUCCCCGGCAACGGCGCCAACAAUCCUUUUGCUACGGCGACAAAAACCUUUCUGUCACCCCUUGAGCUUGCGUUGGUUUUUUCCCUUGAAGAGGAAAGGGCGAUGCAGCAUAGGAGCAGUAGGUAUUUCCCUCAGUUGAGAACCAAGGUAUCAAUCCAGUAGGAGAAUCGCGUCAAGUCCAGAGUACCUGCACAAACACAAAAGAGCUUGCACCCAACGCUAUAAAGGGGUUGUCAAUCCCUUCAAGAUUGAUUGCAAAGUGAGAUCUGAAGGUGGAAAGUGCAACGAAGUAAAAGUGUAAGGCUGAAAAUAUGGUGUGGAGUAGGCCCGUGGGCCAUAGUGUUCACUAGAGGCUUCUCUCAAAAUAGCAAAUAUUACGGUGGGUGAACAAAUUACUGUCGGGAAAUUGAUAGAACAGCGCAAAUUCAUGACGAUAUCUAAGGCAAUGAUCAUACAUAUAGGCAUCACGUCCGUGACAAGUAGACCGAUACUUUGUGCAUCUACUACUAUUACUCCACACAUCGACCGCUAUCCAGCAUGCAUCUAGUGUAUUGAGUUCAUGACGAACAGAGUAACGCCUUAAGCAAGAUGACAUGAUGUAGAGGGAUAAUCUCAAACCAAUGAUGAAAACCCCAUCUUUUUACCCUUGAUGGCAACAACAUGAUGCGUGCCUUGCUACCCCUUCCGUCACAGGGUGAGCUCACCGCACGGUAUGAACCCAAAACCAAGCACUUCUCCCACUGCAAGAAUCAUAGAUCUAGUUGGCCAAACAAAACCAACAACUCGAAGAGAAUUACAAGGAUAUGAAAUCAUGCAUAAGAGAGAUGAGAAGAAACUCAAAUAAGAUUCAUAGAUAAUAUGAUCUCGACAAACACACCGCAAAAGAAGUUUACAUCAGAUAGAUCUCCAUGAAGAUCAUGGAGAACUUUGUAUUGAAGAUCCAAGAGAGAGAAGAAGCCAUCUAGCUACUAGCUAUGGACCCGUAGGUCUAUGGUGAACUACUCACGCAUCAUCGGAGAGGUCAUGGUGUUGAUGAAGAAGCCCUUCGUGUCCGAAUCGCCCUCCGGCAGGGCACCAGAACAUGCCCCAGAUGGGAUCUUGCGGAGACAGAAGCUUGCGUCGGCGGAAAAGUACUUUCGAUGAUCUCCUGAUUUUUUCUGGGAUUUUAGGGAAUAUAUAGUUGAAAAACCUAGGGCAGGGGAGCCACGGGGAGCUCACUAGCCUGCUAGGCCCGCCCGCCCCCUAGGUCGGGCCUGGUGGGCUUGUGACCUCCUCCGAUGUCCCCUCCCUUGGUUCUCAAGUCUCUCGCGUGUCUUCUGUUAUGGAAAAAAUCAUUCCGCAGAUUUUAUUCCGUUUGGACUCCAUUUAAAAUUCUUCUCUGAAAAGGGUCAAAAACACGGAAAAACAGGAACUGGCACUUGGCACCGAGUUAAUAAGUUAGUCCCAAAAAAGAUAUAAAAGGCAUACAAAACAUCCAAAGUUUGACAAGAUAAUAGCAUGAAACCAUAAAAAAAUAUAGAUACGUUGGAGACGUAUCACUCCCCCGUAAGCGGACCUCGGGGUUCGUGUAACGUCCGGAACCUAGCGGACCCAAAAUCAAUGACUAAUAGCAUACAAAACUGGCAGAAAAGGCCAAAACAACGCGUUUUGAAGAGUUCCCCGUAACCGGACCCCGGGUUUCCUGAAAUGUUCGGAUCGCACCAGGACCCAAAAUCAGUGACUAACAGUAUAGAAAACUGGCUACAAUAGGCCGAAACGUUCGCAUCGCAGCAGGACACAAAAUCAGUGAGUAAUAGCAUACAAAACUAGGCGGAAUAGGUCAAAACUGCUAGUUUUGACGAGUUCCCCGUAACCGGACCCCAGAUUUCCUGAAAUGUUUGGAUCGUAGCACGACCCAAUAUGAGUGCCUAAUAGCUUACAAAACUAGGCGCAAUAGGACAAAACUACGAGUUUUGACGAGUUCCCCGUAACCGCACCCCGGGGUUCCCGAAACAUUCGGAUCGCAGUAGGACCCAAAAUCAGUGAGUAAUAGCAUAUAAAACUAGGAGGAAUAUUCCAAAACUGCGAGUUUUGAUGAGUUCCUCGUAACCGAACCGGGGUUCCCGAAACGUUCGGUUUCGCAGUAGGACAAAAAAUUAGUGAGUAAUACCAUAAAAAACUGGCAGGAAUAUGCCAAAACUGUGAGUUUUGGUGAGUUCCCCAUAACCGGACCCCGGGGUUCCCGAAACGUUUGCAUCGCAGCACGACACAAAAUCACAGAGUAAUAGUAUAGAAAAACUUGUCAGAAUAGGCCAAAACUGCGAGUUUUGAAGAGUUCCCCAUAACCGAACCCCUGGGUUCCCGAAACGUUCGGAUCACAUAAGGACCCAAAAUUAGUGACUAAUAGCAUACAAAACUGGGAGGAAUAGGCAAACACUGAGAGUUUUGACGAGUUCCCCGUAACCGGACCCUCGGGUUCCUCAAAUGUUUGGAUGGCAGCGAGACCAAAAAUCAGUAACAAAUAACAUACAAAACUAGCCGGAAUAGGCCAAAACUGUGAGUUUUGAGGAGUUCCCCGUAAGCGGAUCCCAGGGUUCCCGAAAUGUUCGGACCCUAGAGGACCCAAAAGCAGUGACUAAUAGCAUACAAAAUUGACUGAAAUAGGCCAAAAGUGCUAGUUUUGAAGAGUUUCCCAUAACCGGACCCCGGGUUACCCGAAAUGUUCGGAUCGCACCAGGAACCAAAAUCAGUUACUAAUAGUAUAGAAAACUGGCCAACAAUAGGCCAAAAGUGCAAGUUUUGACGGGUUCCCCGUAACCGGACCUCGGGUUUCCCAAAACGUUCGGAUUGCAGCAGGAUCCAAAAUCAGUGAGUAAUAGCAUACAAAACUAGGCGGAAUAGGCCAAAAUUUGCGAGUUUUGACGAGUUCCUCGUAAUCGGACCCUCGGAUUUCCCGAAAUGUUAUUUUCGUAGCAAGACCCAAAAUUAGUGAGUAAUAGCAUACAAAACUGGCCGAAAUAGGCCAGAACUGCGAGUUUUGACGAGUUCCCCAUAACCGGACCCCGGGAUUCCCGAAACGUUCAGAUCAAAGUAGGACGCAAAAUGAGUGAGUAAUAGCAUACAAAACUAGCCAGAAUAGGCAAAAACUACGUGUUUUGAAGAGUUUCCCGUAACCGGACCUCGGGGUCCCUGAAACAUUCGGAUCACAUGAGGACCCAAAAUCAGUGACUAAUAGCAUACAAAACUGGCCGAAUUAGGGCAAAAUUGCGGGUUUUCACGAGUUCCACUCAACCGGACCCCAGGGUUCCCGAAACGUUCAGAUCACAGUAUGACCCAAAAUCAGUGAGUAAUAGCAUACAAAACUAGGCGGAAUAGGCCAAAACUGCGAGUUUUGACGAGUUACCCGUGACCGGACCCCGGGGUUCCCGAAAUGUUCGGAUCGCAGCAGGACACAAAAUCAGUGAGUAGUCUAGAAAACUUGCCAGAAUAGGCCAAAACUGCGAGUUUUGAAGACUUCCCCGUAACAGGACCCCCGGGUUCCAGAAACACUCGGAUCACAUCAGGACCCAAAAUCAGUGACUAAUAGCAUACAAAACUGGGCGGAAUAGGCCAAAACUGUGAGGUUUGACGAGUUCCCCGUAACCGGACCCCGGGGUUCCCGAAACGUUUGGAUGGCUGCAAAAUCACUGACUAAUAGCAUACAAAACUAGGCAGAAUAGGCCAAAACUGCGAGUUUUGACAAGUUCCCCGUAACCGGACCCCGGGGUUCCCGAAACGUUCGGAUGGCAGCGGGACCAAAAUCAGUGACUAAUAGCAUACGAACCUGGUCGGAAUAGGCCAAAACUAGGAGUUUUGACGAGUCCCCCGUAAGCGGUCCCCGGGGUUCUCGAAAAGUUCGAAACCCAGUGGACCCAAAAUCAAUGACUAAUAACAUACAAAACUGGCCGAAAAAGGCCAAAACUGCGAGUUUUGACGAGUUCCCCGUAACCGGACCCCUGGUUUCCUGAAAUGUUCGGAUCGCACCAGGACCCAAAAUCAAUGACUAAUAGUAUAGAAAACUGGCUACAAUAGGCCGAAACGUUCACCUCGCAGAAGGACCCAAAAUCAAUGAGUAAUAGCAUACAAAACUAGGUGGAAUAGGCCAAAACUCCGAUUUUUGACGAGUUCCCCGUAACCGGACCCUGGGUUUCCCGAAACGUUCGGGUUGCAGCACAACCCAAUAUGAGUGCGUAAUAGCAUACAAAACUAGGCGCAAUAGGCCAAAACUGCGAGUUUUGAUGAGUUCCCCGUAACCGGACCCCGGGUUUCCCGAAACGUUCAGAUUGCAGCAGGAUCCAAAAUUAGUGAGUAAUAGCAUACAAAACUAGGCGCAAUAGGCAAAAACUACGUGUUUUGAAGAGUACCCCGUAAUCGGACCCCGGGAUUUCCCGAAAUGUUAUUUUUGUAGCAGGACCCAAAAUCAGUGAUUAAUAGCAUACAAAACUUGACAGAAUAGGCCAAAACUGUGAGUUUUGAUGAGUUCCCCAUAACGGACCUCGUGGUUCCCAAAACGUUUGCAUCGCAACAAGACACAAAAUCACUGAGUAAUAGUAUAGAAAACUUGCCAGAAUAGACCAAUACUGCGAGUUUUGAAGAGCUUCCCGUAACCAAAGUUCUGGGUUCCCGAAACAUUCGAAUCACAUAAGGACCCAAAAUUAGUGACAAAUAGCAUACAAAACUAGGCGGAAUAGGACAAAACUGAGAGUUUUGACGAGUUCCCCGUAACCAUACCCCCGGGUUCCUGAAAUGUUCGGAUGGCAGCGAGACCCAAAAUCAGUGACUAAUAGCAUACAAAACUGGCCGGAAUAGGCCAAAACUAUGAGUUUUGACGAGUUCACUGUAAGCAGACACCGGGGUUCGCGAAACGUUCGGAUCCUAGCGGACCCAAAACCAGUGACUAAUAGCAUACAAAACUAGCCGAAAUAGGCCAAAAGUGCGAGUUUUGAAGAGUUUCCCGUAACCAGACCCCGGGUUUCCUGAAAUGUUCGGAUCGCACCAGGAACCAAAAUCAGUGACUAAUAGUAUAGAAUACUAGCCACAAUAGGCCAAAAGUGCGAGUUUUGACUGGUUCCCCGUAACCAGACCCCGGGUUUCCCGAAACGUUUGGAUUGCAACAGGAUCCAAAAUCAGUGAGUAAUAGCAUACAAAACUAGACGGAAUAGGCCAAAACCGCGAGUUUUGACGAGUUCCCCGUAACCGGACCCCGGGAUUUCCCGAAAUGUUAUUUUCGUAGCAGGACCCAAAAUCAGUGAGUAAUUAGCAUACAAAACUGGCCGAAAUAGGCCAGAACUGCGAGUUUUGACGAGUUCCCCGUAACCAGACACCGGGAUUCCCGAAACGUUGAGAUCGCAGCAGGACCCAAAAUGAGUGAGUGAUAGCAUACAACUGGCCACAAUAGGCAAAAACUACGUGUUUUGAAGAGUACCCCAUAACCGGACCCCGGGGCUCCCGAAACAUUCGGAUCACGCGAGGACCCAAAAUCAGUGACUAAUAGCAUACAAAACUGGCCGAAUUAGGGCAAAACUACGUGUUUUGAAGAGUCCCCCGUAACCGGACCCCGGGGUUCCCGAAACGUUGAGAUCACAGUACGACCCAAAAUUAGUGAGUAAUAGCAUACAAAACUGGGCAGAAUAGGCCAAAAUUGCGAGUUUUGAUGAGUUCCCCGUAACCGGAACCCGGGGUUCCCAAAAUGUUCGGAUCGCAGCACGACACAAAAUCAGUGAGUAGUCUAGAAAACUGGCCAGAAUAGGCCAAAACUUCGAGUUUUGAAGAGUUCCCCAUAACAGGACCCCGGGGUUUGACUCCAUGAUAGCAGACCUUCCCCUGCAACGGCACCAGAAGAAUGCUGCUAGCACUCUCUGGCAAUCGAAACUAGAAGAAUGUUGUUGGCGGCCCACGAGUGCGUGGGAUCGUAGCAGUUUUUGAGGGUAGAGUAUUCGACCCAAAUUUGUUGAUUCGCCAGACAGGAGGUGAAAGGAUACUCUCGAGUAUUAGUAGCUGAAUUUAUCAGAUUCAACCACACAUGAAAGAUUAGUAUCUGCAAGCAAAGUAUCAGCAACAAAGUGGUAUGUUAACAAUGGUGUCACAAAUGAUCUGUUGAUGGCAGACUAUUCCUAACUGUCGUAUCAAUGGCGCCAGAAGUUUCCCGUGGACAGAAAAUAUUCUUUCCUGUCAACGGCGCGAGAAAAAGUAUUGUAGCAGGUAACAGUAGUGUUAUGAGUAAUAGUAGUGGCAAGGAACAACAGUAGUGACAGCAGUAGCAAGUAGCAACUGUAGCAAGCGACAGUAGCAGCAGAGCAAGACAAGUAACAGGAGUAGCAGCAGAGCAAGACAAGUAACAACAGUAGUAGGACGAACUCAUAGGCAAUGGGUCGGUGAUUUGUUUGGAUGAUAUUCAUCAUGCAACAGUUAUAAUACGGAGAGAUAUGUGGCUAGCUUCCGUUCGUCAAUGUGAUGUAGGCAUGCAUUCCGUGUGUCGUCAUACAUGCUUAGGGAAAAGAACUUGCAUGACAUCUAUUGUCCAUCCCUCCCGUGGCAGCGGGGUCCAAAAGGAAACUACGGGAUAUUAAGGUUCUCCUUUUAAUAAAGAACCGGACCAAUGCAUUAGCACUUGGUGAACACAUGAACUCCUCAAACUAUGGUCAUCACCGGGAGUGGUUCCGGUUAUUGUCACUCCGGGGUUGCCGGAUCUAACACAUAGUAGGUAACUACAACUUGCAAGAUCGGAUCUAAAACACACAUAUAUUGGUGACAACAUAAUAAUUUCAGAUCUGAAAUCAUGGCACUCGGGCCCUAGUGACAAGCAUUAAGCAUGGCAAAGUAGUAGCAACAUCAAUCUCAGAACAUAGUGGAUACUAGGGAUCAAUCCCCAUCAAAACUAACUCGAUUACAUGAUAGAUCUCGUCCUACUCAUCACCGCCCAGCGAGCCUACGAAUAGAUUACUCACGAACGACGAAGAGCUUCAUGGAAUUGGAGAGGGAAGAAGGUUGAUGAUGACGAUGGCGACGAUUUCCCCUCUCCGGAGCCCAACGGACUCCAGAUCUGCCCUCCAGAUGAAGAACAGGAUGUGGCGGCGCCUCCGUAUCGCAAACGCGACGAAAUCUUCUCUUUUUAUUUUUUUCUGGGACGAAAGUGAAUUUAUAGAGCUGAGUUUGGGGGCAGCAGAGCCACGUGGGCCCCACAAGCUUGCCAUCCGCCACCAGGGGGGUGGGGUGGCGGCUACAGGGCUUGUGGCCCACUGGCCCACCCCCUCAGGUGGAUCUUUGCGCAGGUAUUUUUCAUAUUUUCCAAAAAGAAUCUCCAUAAAUUUUCAGGACGUUCGGAGAACUUUGAUUUCUGCACAAAAACAACACCAAGGCAAUUCUGCUGAAAACAUCGUCAGUCCAGGUUAGUUCCAUUCAAUUUAUGCAAAUUAGAGUCUAAAACAAGGGCCAAAGAGUUUGGAAAAGUAGAUGCGAUGGAGACGUAUCAGGGUUCCAAAAACACUCGGAUCACAUCAGGGCCCAAAAUCAGUGACUAAUAGCAUACAAAACUGGGCAGAAUAGGCCAAAACUGCGAGUUUUGAUGAGUUCCUCGUAACCGGACCCCGGGGUUCCCGAACUGUUUGGAUCGUUGCAGGACACAAAAUCACGGACUAAUAGCAUACAAAACUGGGCAGAAUAGGCCAAAACUGCGAGUUUUGACGAGUUCCCCGUAACCGGACCCCGGGGUUCCUGAAACGUUCGGAUGGCAGCGGGACCAAAAUCAGUGACUAAUAGCAGACGAAACUGGCCCGAAUAGGCCAAAACUGCGAGUUUUGACGAGUCCCCCGUAAGCGGACCCCGGGGUUCCCGAAAUGUUCGGAACCCAGCGGACCCAAAAUCAGAGCAUACAAAACUGGCCGAAAAAGGCCAAAACAACGAGUUUUGAAGAGUUCCCCGUAACCGGACCCCUGGUUUCCUGAAAUGCUUAGAUCGCACCAGCACCCAAAAUCAGUGACUAACAGUAUAGAAAACUCGCUACAAUAGGCCGAACCGUUCGUAUCACAGCAGGACCCAAAAUCACUGAAUAAUAGCACACAAAACUAGGCGGAAUAGGUCAAAACUGCGAGUUUUGACGAGUUCCCCGUAACCGUACCCCGGAUUUCCCGAAACGCUCGGAUCGCAGCACGCCAAUAUGAGUGCAUAAUAGCAUAUAAAACUAGGUAAAAUAGGCCAAAACUGCGAGUUUUGACAAGUUCCCCGUAACCGGACCCCGGGGUUCCCGAAACGUUCGGAUCGCAGUUGGACCCAAAAUCAGUGAGUAAUAGCAUACAAAACUAGGAGGAAUAGGCCAAAACUGCGAGUUUUGACGAGUUCCUCGUAACCGAACCCGGGGUUCCCUAAACGUUCGGUUCGCAGCACGACACAAAAUCAGUGAGUAAUAGCAUAAAAAACUGGCAGGAAUAGGCCAAAACUGUGAGUUUUGAUGAGUUCCCCAUAACCGGACCCCGAGGUUCCCGAAACGUUGGCAUCACUGAGUAAUAGUAUAGAAAACUUGCUAGAAUAGGCUAAAACUGCGAGUUUUGAAGAGUUCCCCGUAACCGAACCCCUGGGUUCCCGAAAGGUUCGGAUCACAUAAGGACCCAAAAUUAGUGACUAAUAGCAUACAAAACUAGGCGGAAUAGGCCAAAAUGGAGAGUUUUGACGAGUUCCCCGUAACCGGAGCCCCGGGUUCCUGAAAUGUUCGGAUGCAGCGAGACCCAAAAUCAGUGACUAAUAGCGUACAAAACUAGCCGGAAUAGGCCAAAACUGUGAGUUUUGACGAGUUCCCCGUAAGCGGACCCCAGGGUUCUCGAAACGUUCGGAUCCUAGCGGACCCAAACCAAGUGACUAAUAGAAUACAAAACCGGCCAAAAUAGGCCAAAAGCGCGAGUUUUGAAGAGUUUCGAGUAACCGGACCCCGGGUUUCCCGAAAUGUUCGGAUCGCACGAAGAACCAAAAUCAGUGAGUAAUAGUAUAGAAAACUAGCCACAAUAGGCCAAAAGUGCAAGUUUUGACGGGUUCCCCGUAACCGGACCGCGGGUUUUCCAAAACGUUUGGAUUGCAGUAGGAUCCAAAAUAAGUGAGUAAUAGGAUACAAAACUAGGCGGAAUAGGCUAAAAAUUGCGAGUUUUGACGAGUUCCCCAUAAUCGGACCCCGGGAUUUCCCCAAAUGUUAUUUUCGUAGCAGGACCCAAAAUCAGUGAGUAAUAGCAUACAAAACUGGCCGGAAUAGGCCAGAACUGCGAGUUUUGAUGAGUUCCCCGUAACCGGACCCCGGGAUUCCCGAAACGUUCAGAUUGCAGUAGGACCCAAAAUGAGUGAGUAAUAGCAUAUAAAAAUGGCCAAAAUAGGAAAAAACUACGUGUUUUGAAGAGUUUCCCGUAACCGAACCUCGGGGUUCCCGAAUAUUCGGAUCACAUGAGGACCCAAAAUUAGUGAAUAGUAGCAUACAAAACUGACCGAAUUAGGGCAAAACUGCGGGUUUUCACGAGUUCCGCUUAACUGGACCCCGAGGUUCCCGAAACGUUCAGAUCGCAGUACGACCCAAAAUCAGUGAGUAAUAGCAUACAAAACUAGGCGGAAUAGCCCAAAACUGCAAGUUUUGACGAGUUCCCCGUAACCGGACCCCGGGGUUCCCGAAAUGUUUGGAUCGCAGCAGGACACAAAAUCUGUGAGUAGUCUAAAAAAUUGGCCAGAAUAGGCCAAAACUACGAGUUUUGAAGAGUUCCCCGUAACAGGACCCCGGGAAUCCAGAAACACUCAGAUUACAUCAGGACCCAAAAUCAGUGACUAAUAGCAUACAAAACAAGGCGGAAUAGGCCMAAACUGUUAGUUUUGACGAGUUCCCCGGAACCGGACCCCGGGGUUCCCGAAACGUUUGGAUCGCUGCAGGACACAAAAUCACUGACUAAUAGCAUACAAAACUUGGUAGAAUUGGCCAAAACUACGAGUUUUGAUGAGUUCCCCGUAAUCGGACCCCGGGGUUCCUGAAAUGUUCGGAUGGCAGCGGGACCAAAAUCAGUGACUAAUAGCAUACGAAACUGGCUGGAAUAGGCCAAAACUACGAGUUUUGACGAGUCCCCCGUAAGCGGACCCCAGGGUUCCCGAACCGUACGGAAGCCAGUGGACCGAAAAUCAGUGACUAAUAGUAUAGAAAACUGGCUACAAUAGGCCGAAACUUUCGGAUCAGAGCAGGACCCAAAAUCAGUGAGUAAUAGCAUACAAAACAAGGCGGAAUAUGCAAAAACUGAGAGUUUUACGAGUUCCCCAUAACCGGACCCGGGUUUCCCGAAACGUUUGGCUCGUAGCACGACCCAAUAUGAGUGCGUAAUAGCAUAUAAAAGUAGGCAGAAUAGGCCAAAACUAUGAGUUUUGAUGAGUACCCCGUAACCGGACCCCACGGUUCCCAAAAUGUUCGGAUCGUUGUAGGACCCAAAAUCAGUGAGUAAUAGCAUGCAAAACUAGGAGGAAUAGGCCAAAUCUGCGAGUUUGAAUAGUUCCCCGUAACCGGACCCCGGGGUUCCCAAAACAUGCGGAUCACACGAGGCCCAAAAUCAGUGACUAAUAGCGUACAAAAUUGGUGGAAUUGGCCAAAACUGCGAGUUUUGGCAAGUUCCCCGUAACCGGACCCCGGGGUUCCCAAAAUAAUCAGAUGGCAGCGGGACCCAAAAUCAGUUACUAAUAGCGUACAAAAUUGGCCGGAAUAGGCCAAUAGUGCGAGUUUUGAUGAGUUCAACGUAACCAGACCCCGGGUUUUCCGCAGCUCGACCCAAUAUCACUGCGUAAUAGCAUACAAAACUAGGCGGAAUAGGCCAAACCUACAAGUUUUGACGAGUUCCUCCUAACCGGACCCCGGGGUUCCCGAAACGUUUGGAUCGUAGUAGGACACAAAAUCCGGGAGUAAUAGCAUACAAAACUGGGUGGAAUAGGCCAAAACUGCGAGUUUUGAUGAGUUCCUUGUAACCGGACUCCGAGGUUCCUGAAACGUUCGGAUUGCAGCAGGACACAAAAUAAAUGAGUAAUAGGCCAAAACUGCGAGUUUUGACGAGUUCCCGUAACCAGACCCCGGGGUUCCAGAAACGUUCGGAUCGCUGGAGGACACAAAAUCAGUGAGUAAUAGUAUAGAAAACUUGCCAUAAUAGGCCAAAACUGCGAGGUUUCAAGAGUUCCCCGUAACCGUACCCUGGGGUUCCCGAAACAUUCGGAUCACAUCAGGACCCAAAAUCAGUGACUAAUAGCAUACAAAACUAGGCGGAAUAGGCCUAAACUGCGAGUUUUGACGAGUUCCCCGCAACCGGACCCCGGGAUUCCCAAAACUUCAGAUCGUAGCAGGACCCAAAAGGAGUGAGUAAUAGCAUACAAAACUGGCCGGAAUAGGCAAAAACUACGUGUUGUGAAGAGUUCCCCGUAACCGGACCCCGGGGUUCCCAAAACAUUCGGAUCACAUGAUGACCUAAAAUGAGUGACUAAUAGCAUACAAAACUGACUGAAUUAGGGCAAAGCUGCGAGUUUUCAUGAGUUCCACUUAACCGGACCCCGGGGUUCCCGAAAUGUUCGGAACACAGGAGGACACAAAAUCACUGAGUAGUCUAGAAAACUGGCCAGAAUAGGCCAAAACUGCGAGUUUUGAAGAGUUCCCCAUAAUAGGACCCCGGUGUUCCAAAAACACUCGGAUCACAUUAGGACUCAAAAUCAGUGACUAAUAGCAUACAAAACUGGGCGGAAUAGGCCAAAACUGCGAGUUUUGACGAGUUCCCCGUAACCGGACCCCGGGGUUCCCGAAACAUUUGGAUCGUUGCAGGACACAAAAUCAUUGACUAAGAGCAUACAAAACUGGGCAGGAUAAUCCAAAACCGUGAGUUUUGACGAGUUCCGUGUAACCGGACCCCGGGGUUCCCGAGACGUUCGGAUGGCAGAGGGACCAAAAUCAGUGACUAAUCGCAUACGAAAUUGGUCGGAAUAGGCCAAAACUGCGAGUUUUGACGAGUCCCCCGUAAGCGGACCCCGGGGUUCCCGAAACGUUCGGAACCGAGCGGACCCAAAAUCAGUGACUAGUAGCAUAAUAAACUGGCCGAAAAAGGCCAAAACUGCGAGUUUUGAAGAGUUCCGCGUAACCGGACCCCGAGUUUCCUCAAAUGUUCGGAUCGCACCAGGACCAAAAAUCAAUGACUAAUGGUAUAGAAAACUGGCUACAAUAGGCCAAAACUGCGAGUUUUGACGAGUUCCCCGUAACCGGACCCCGGGUUUCCUGAAAUGUUCGGAUCGCACGACGACACAAAAUCAGUGAGUAAUAGUAUACAAAACUAGGGGAAUAUGCCAAAACUGCGAGUUUUCACGAGUUCCCUCUAACCGGACCCCGGGGUUCCCGAAACGUUCGGAUCGUAGCAGGACCCAAUAUCAGUGAGUAAUAGUAUAGAAAAAUGGCCAGAAUAGGCCAAAACUACGAGGUUUGAAGAGUUCCCCGUAACCAUACCCUGGAGUUCCCGAAACAUUCAGAUGACAUCAGGACCCAAAACCAGUGACUAAUAGUAUACAAAACUGGGCGGAAUAAGACAAAACUGUGAGUUUUGACGAGUUCCCCGUAAGCGGACGUCGGGAUUCCCAAAACGUUCGGAUCGUAGCAGGACACAAAAUGAGUGAGUCAUAACAUACAAAACUGGGAAGAAUAGGCCAAAACUGCGAGUUUUGAAGAGUUCCCCGUAACUGAACCACGGGGUUCCUGAAACAUUCUGAUCACAUUAGGACCCAAAAUCAGUGACUAUUUGCAUACAAAACUUGGUGGAAAAAGGCCAAAACUGCAUGUUUUGAAGAGUUCCCCGUAACCGAUCCCUGGUUUCCUAAAAUGUUAGAAUCACACGAGGACCCAAAAUCAGUGACUAAUAGUAUAGAAAACUGGCUACAAUAGGCCAAAAUUGCGACUUUUGACGAGUUCCUCGUAACCGGACCCCGGGUUUCGUAAAAUGUUCGGAUCGCACUAGGACACAAAAUCAGUGAGUAAUAGCAUACAAAACUGGGGGAAUAUGCCAUAACUGCAAGUUUUCAUGAGUUCCCUGUAACAUGACCCCAGAUUCCCGAAACAUUCGGAUCGCAGCAGGACACAAAAUCAGUGACUAAUAGCAUACAAAACUAGGAGGAAUAGGCCAAAACUGCGAGUUUUGACUAGUUCCCCGUAACCGGACCCCGGGGUUCCCGAAAUGUUCGGAUCGCACUAGGACCCAAAAUCAGGGUGUAAUAGCAUACAAAACUGUGCGGAAUAGGCCAAAAUUGCGAGUUUUGACGAAUUCCCUGUAACCGGACCACGGGGUUCCCGAUAAGUUCGGAUCGCAGAAGGACACAAAAUCAGUGAGUAUUAGCAUACAAAACAUGCCGGAAUAGGCCAAAAUUGUGAGUUUGACGAGUUCCCCGUAACCGGACCUCGGGAUUCCCGAAACGUUCACAUCGCAGUAGGAUACAAAAUCAGUGAGUAAUAGCAUAGGAAACUCGCCAGAAUAGGCCUAAACUGCGAGUUUUGAAGAGUUCCCCGUAUCCGGACCACGGGGUUCCUGAAACAUUCGGAUUACAUCAGGACCCAAAAUCAGUGACUAUUAGCAUACAAAACUUGGCGGAAUAGGCCAAAACUGUGAUUUUUGACGAGUUCCGCGUAACCGGACCCCUGUGUCCCAGAAACGUUCGGAUCAUAGUAGGACCCAAAAUGAGUGAAUAAUAGCAUACAAAACUGGCCGGAAUAGGCCAAAAUUGUGAUGUUUGACGAGUUCCGCGUUCGGAUCGCAGUAGAAUACAAAAUCAGUGAGUACUAGCAUAGAAAACUCGCCAGAAUAGGCCUAAACUACGAGUUUUGAAGAGUUCCCCGUAACCGGACCACGGGGUUCCCGAAACAUUCGGAUCGCAGCAGGACACAAAAUCAGUGAGUAAUAGCAUACAAAACUAGGCGGAAUAGGCCAAAAUUGCGAGUUUUGAGGAGUUCCCCAUAAUCGGACCCCGGGUUUCCCGAAACGUUUGGAUCGCAGCACGACCCAAUAUGAGUGUGUAAUAGCAUACAAAACUAGGCGGGAUAGGCCAAAGCUGCGAGUUUUGACGAGUUCCCCGUAACCGGACCCCGGGGUUCCCGAAAUGUUCGGAUCGCAGUAGCACCCAAUAUCAGUGAGUAAUGGCAUACAAAACUGGGAGGAAUAGGCCAAAACUGUGAGUUUUGACGAGUUCCCCAUAAUCGAACCCAGGGGUUCCCGAAAUAAGCGGAUUGCAGCGGGACCUAAAAUCAGUGACCAAUAGCGUACGAAAUUGGCCGGAAUAGGCCAAUACCGCGAGUUUUGACGAGUUCACCGUAACCGAACCCCGGGUUUCCCGAAAUGUUCGGAUUGCAGCAGGACCCAAUAUCACUGCGUAAUAACAUACAAAACUAGGAGGAAUAGGCCAAAACUGCGAGUUUUGACGAGUUCCCCCUAACUGGACUCGGGGUUCCUGUGUUGGGGAACGUCGCAUGGGAAACAAAAAUUUUCCUACGCGCACGAAGGCCUAUCAUGGUGAUGUCCAUCUACGAGAGGGGAUGGUUGAUCUACGUACCCUUGUAGACCGUACAACAGAAGUGUUAGUGAACGCGGUUGAUGUAGUGGAACGUCCUCACGUCCCUCGAUCCGCCUCGCGAACCGUCCCGCGAUCAGUCCCAUGAUCUAGUGCCGAACGGACGGCACCUCCGCGUUCAGCACACGUACAACUCAACGAUGAUCUCGGCCUUCUUGAUCCAGCAAGAGAGACGGAGAGGUAGAUGAGUUCUCCGGCAGCGUGACGACACUCCGGAGGUUGGUGGUGAUCUUAUCUCAGCAGGGCUCCGCCCGAGCUCUGCAGAAACGCGAUCUAGAGUCAAAACCGUGUUGAUAUGUGGUCGGGCUGCCGUGGCAAAGUUGUCUUAAAUCAGCCCUAAAACCUCUGUAUAUAUAGGGGGAGGAGGGGGAGCCUUGCCUUGGGGUCCAAGGACUCCCAAGGGGGUCGGCCGAGCCUAGGGGGGCAAUCCUCCCCUUCCAAACCGAGUCCAACUAGGUUUGGAAGGAGGAGUCCUUCCCCCUUUUCCCACCUCCUCUUUUUUUUCUUUUCUCUUUGAUUUUUCUUCCUAUGGCGCAUAGGGCUUUCUUGGGCUGUCCCACCAGCCCACUAAGGGCUGGUGCGCCACCCCCAAUGCCUAUGGGCUUCCCCGGGGUGGGUUGCCCCCCCGGUGAACUCCCGGAACCCAUUCGUCAUUCCCGGUACNNNNNNNNNNNNNNNNNNNNNNNNNNNNNNNNNNNNNNNNNNNNNNNNNNNNNNNNNNNNNNNNNNNNNNNNNNNNNNNNNNNNNNNNNNNNNNNNNNNNAUAGGGGGAGGAGGGGGAGCCUUGCCUUGGGGUCCAAGGACUCCCAAGGGGGUCGGCCGAGCCUAGGGGGGCAAUCCUCCCCUUCCAAACCGAGUCCAACUAGGUUUGGAAGGAGGAGUCCUUCCCCCUUUUCCCACCUCCUCUUUUUUUUCUUUUCUCUUUGAUUUUUCUUCCUAUGGCGCAUAGGGCUUUCUUGGGCUGUCCCACCAGCCCACUAAGGGCUGGUGCGCCACCCCCAAUGCCUAUGGGCUUCCCCGGGGUGGGUUGCCCCCCCGGUGAACUCCCGGAACCCAUUCGUCAUUCCCGGUACAUUCCCGGUAACUCCGAAAACCUUCCGCUAAUCAAAUGAGGUCAUCCUAUAUAUCAAUCGUCGUUUCCGGACCAUUCCGGAAACCCUCGUGACGUCCGUGAUCUCAUCCGGGACUCCGAACAACAUUCGGUAACCAACCAUAUAACUCAAAUACGCAUAAAACAACGUCGAACCUUAAGUGUGCACACCCUGCGGGUUCGAGAACUAUGUAGACAUGACCCGAGAGACUCCUCGGUCAAUAUCCAAUAGCGGGACCUAUAUGCCCAUAUUGGAUCCUACAUAUUCUACGAAGAUCUUAUCGUUUGAACCUCAGUGCCAAGGAUUCAUAUAAUCCCGUAUGUCAUUCCCUUUGUCCUUCGGUAUGUUACUUGCCCGAGAUUCCAUCGUCAGUAUCCGUAUACCUAUUUCAAUCUCGUUUACCGGCAAGUCUCUUUAUUCGUUCCGUAAUACAAGAUCCCGGAACUUACACUAAGUCACCUUGCUUGCAAGGCUUGUGUGUGAUGUUGUAUUACCGAGUGGGCCCCGAGAUACCUCUCCGUCACACGGAGUGACAAAUCCCAGUCUCGAUCCAUACUAACUCAACGAACACCUUCGGAGAUACCUGUAGAGCAUCUUUAUAGUCACCCAGUUACGUUGCGUCGUUUGAUACACACAAAGUAUUCCUCCGGUGUUAGUGAGUUAUAUGAUCUCAUGGUCAUAGGAACAAAUACUUGAGACGCAGAAAACAGUAGCAACAAAAUGACAUGAUCAACAUGCUACGUCUAUUAGUUUGGGUCUAGUCCAUCACGUGAUUCUCCUAAUGACGUGAUCCAGUUAUCAAGCAACAACACCUUGUUCAUAAUCAGAAGACACUGACUAUCUUUGAUCAACUGGCUAGCCAACUAGAGGCUUGCUAGGGACAGUCUUUUGUCUAUGUAUCCACACAUGUAUAUAAGUCUUCAUUCAAUACAAUUAUAGCAUGGAUAAUAAACGAUUAUCUUGAUACAGGAAUUACAAUAAUAACUAUAUUUAUUAUUGCCUCUAGGGCAUAAUUCCAACAGUCUCCCACUUGCACUAGAGUCAAUAAUCUAGCCCUCACAUCAUCAUGCGAAUUACAUUGUAAUAAGUCUAACACCCAUACAGUUCUGGUGUUGAUCAUGCUUUGCCCGUGGAAGAGGUUUAGUCAGCGGGUCUGCUACAUUCAGAUCCGUGUGCACUUUGCAUAUAUUCACGUCCUCCCCUUCGACGUAGUCGCGGAUGAGGUUGAAGCGUCGUUUGAUGUGUCUGGACUUCUUGUGAAACCGUGGUUCCUUUGCUAGGGCAAUGGCACCCAUGUUGUCACAGAACAAGGUUAUUGGGUUCAGUGCGCUUGGCACCACUCCAAGAUCCUUCAUGAACUGCUUCAUCCAGACACCCUCCUUAGCCGCCUCCGAGGCAGCCAUGUACUCCGCUUCACAUGUAGAAUCUGCUACGACGCUCUGCUUGGAACUGCACCAGCUUACCGCACCCCCAUUAAGAAUAAAUACAUAUCCGGUUUGCGACUUAGAGUCGUCCGGAUCUGUGUCAAAGCUUGCAUGCNNNNNNNNNNNNNNNNNNNNNNNNNNNNNNNNNNNNNNNNNNNNNNNNNNNNNNNNNNNNNNNNNNNNNNNNNNNNNNNNNNNNNNNNNNNNNNNNNNNNAUCUGGUUGGACCACCUCGCCGGCCUACACCCCCAUCCCGGCGACCACCACCCCUCUCGGCCCCAACCCCGCCCCCGUCGGCCUUCCUCCCGCUCGGUCCAGGAGGGACCGGGCAGGGAGACAUCUUCGCCUCGCCGGAUCCGGCCGGCUCCCCCUCGCCGGCACGACCGACCGUCCUCACCGGCAUCACCACCACCGCGUCAUCACCGCCGUCAACCCCGGCUUUCCCGCGAACUCCGGCUUCACCGGGCCGUCUCAUCAACGCCAGUGAGCCCUUUUACGGGCUCCUCCCACCCUCUCCUUCCGUUUUUCGUCCCGGUUCCGUUUCGGCAAACGGGACCCCAAUCCGUCGACGGUAGCGACCGGUAGGAGGGAUUGAAGUUUAUGUUCUUNNNNNNNNNNCCUUUCCCGCGAACUCCGGCUUCACCGGGCCGUCUCAUCAACGCCGGUGAGCCCUUUUACGGGCUCCUCCCACCCUCUCCUUCCAUUUUUCGUCCCGGUUCCGUUCCGGCAAACGGGACCCCGAUCCGUCGACGGUAGCGACCGGUAGGAGGGAUUGAAGUUUAUGUUCUUCUAUGUUGAAGGAGUUAGCAAAGAGACUCUGUGUUAUAUUUGUUAACACAGAGAGGGAGAUGAGAGUUUUGAUAGAAAGAAAAAGAAAUAUAUGUAUUGCGUAUGUAUGUAUCCGUAUGUAUGUAUGUAUAUGGAAUUGAGUAUGUAUAUGUGUUAACAUGUGUGUAUAAAAAAACGUGGUAUACGGUCUCUGUGUGUGCGUUUAGUGAUUGUGAUGCUCANNNNNNNNNNNNNNNNNNNNNNNNNNNNNNNNNNNNNNNNNNNNNNNNNNNNNNNNNNNNNNNNNNNNNNNNNNNNNNNNNNNNNNNNNNNNNNNNNNNNUUGAUCAUUCAUAUAUCGCCUAUGUCUUUCUUCCUACUGCUUGCAUUAGUAUUUUGCUACUGUUGUAGUUAGCUCCUAUAUCUGAUGCAUAGCCUAUUUUUGAUGAACUGCUACUUUCAGUCUUGUACUUUAAAUAUGCUUAGUAUAGGUGGAGCAGUCAUCCCCUCUGACCCGUAGUUCAGUUGCCCCGCUUGUUUUCAAAUCUCGAUCCCUGAUCGACGAACCAGACCCGACACAGCACAUACACCCCCCUUAGUUGUACGACGCUACAGAUAUACUAUCGAGUACCGAGGGUGACACCUCGCUAAGUACUCUUGAUGAUAUCUCUGUAGUAUAGCUAGUCGGUCGUGGUUAUCGAGGGUGAUUCCUCUUUCACCAUUCCCGAUGACGCCUCUGUCGUGCAACCCCGCAAGUGUGGGACCCCCGAGGGUGAUUCAUCUAAGCCCACCUUGAUGGGUACAUCGUUCGCAAUCCAACGAGGGUGAUACCUCGUGUCCCCCCCCCCGAUGUUACAACCACACAGUUACUCGACCAUGUUACUGGGAUCUUUGGUGAUUAGUUGUAAGACGGGUGGAUUCCCGUGAGACUGUGUUGAUGGCCUAAUUAAAAUGUUAAUGGAUUUGGGUAUUUGAUCUGGGUUGGUCGGAGACCUUUUCGCACUAACCGGCUACGCGGGAAGAAUUAUGGAUACUCGGCGUCGUGGUAUCAGCCGAAGCUUUUCAGAUGCCAGCAUUGUAGCGGCGCGCGCCCGAGUGGUCCCGAGAUCCAUCGCGCUUGUGAUUAAGGGAUGCUAGGACUGACGUCGGCCGCCCACGCCACAUGCAGGAGCGCGAAGGGGAACUGGGCCCACGAACCCUUUGUGCUUAGGAGUUAGACCGGCGGGCUGGCCUCUCUGAUUAGUCUUAGAUGGGGCUGCGACGUGUCGAUAUUCCGAGGCCGGGCAGGACCCAGAAAAGUAUGUCCGACCAGAGUGUUAUCGAGCGUGACGGGACAUGUGGUGCACCCCUGCACGGAUGAAAAUUAACUAUUCGGAUAGCCGUGUCCACGGUUACAGGACGACUUGGAGUUGUGCCCCGAUCUUUUACAACUACAAUUGUUACUUAACUGAAAUUAGUUUGCCUCGGGAUUGCUUCCUCGCAGGGAGUCGAGGGAGGAUCUUUAGGCGUGACCUCACUUUAAUAUUGCUGCAACAAUAUGACUAUUAUUGUUUUACCCCUCUUCUACUCUCGUCUAUUGCUACAAGACCCUGAAGAUGCUAGUCUUCGAUAGGACUAGACCUUCUCUCUCUAUUCUCGCAUUGCUGCAGUCAGUCCACAUAUAACCCUCCCUUCUUUGAUACUGAUGCAUAAUUAGAAUAGUUCUGAUGUAAGACUUGCGAGUACUUUGGAUGAGUACUCACCGCUGCUUGCCCCCCCCCCCCCCNNNNNNNNNNNNNNNNNNNNNNNNNNNNNNNNNNNNNNNNNNNNNNNNNNNNNNNNNNNNNNNNNNNNNNNNNNNNNNNNNNNNNNNNNNNNNNNNNNNNNNNNNNNNNNNNNNNNNNNNNNNNNNNNNNNNNNNNNNNNNNNNNNNNNNNNNNNNNNNNNNNNNNNNNNNNNNNNNNNNNNNNNNNNNNNNNNNNNNNNNNNNNNNNNNNUAGGUAGGAGGCCUCGCGUCGUUCUAUCGUUGUAUCUUUUGUGCGAGCCUUCUCUAAGGCACCCCAUGUUUUAUGUCUGUACUCAGAUAUUUGUUGCUUCCGCUGACUCGUGUGUUUAUCGAGCUUUCGUAUUCUAGCUCUCGAGGCCCCUGGCUUGUAAUAUGAAGGUGAUGUUAUUUUAUUUGUGUCUAGAGUUGUGUUGUGAUAUCUUCCCGUNNNNNNNNNNNNNNNNNNNNNNNNNNNNNNNNNNNNNNNNNNNNNNNNNNNNNNNNNNNNNNNNNNNNNNNNNNNNNNNNNNNNNNNNNNNNNNNNNNNNUACAUCCAAUAUAUCACAUCACAUCAUUGGCCAUAUCACAUCACAAGCAUACCCUGCAAAAACAAGUUAGACGUCCUCUAAUUUUGUUGUUGCAUGUUUUACGUGGUGACCAUGGGUAUCUAGUAGGAUCGCAUCUUACUUACGCAAACACCACAACGGAGAUAUAUGAGUUGCUAUUUAACCUCAUCCAAGGACCUCCUCGGUCAAAUCCGAUUCAACUAAAGUUGGAUAAACCGACACUUGCCAGUCAUCUUUGAGCAACGGAGUUACUCGUAACGCUGAAACCAGUCUCUCGUAAGCGUACGAGUAAUGUCGGUCCAAGCCGCUNNNNNNNNNNUUAAAGUUGGAGAAACCGACACUUGCCAGUCAUCUUUGAGCAACGGGGUUACUCGUAGCGAUGAAACCAGUCUCUCGUAAGCGUACGAGUAAUGUCGGUCCAAGCCGCUUCAAUCCAACAAUACCGCGGAAUCAAGAAAAUACUAAGGAGGGCAGCAAAACGCACAUCACCGCCCCCAAAAACUUUUGUGUUCUACUCGAGAAGACAUCUACGCAUGAACCUAGCUCAUGAUGCCACUGUUGGUGGAACGUCGCAUGGGAAACAAAACUUUUCCUACGCGCACGAAGACCUAUCAUGGUGAUGUCCAUCUACGAGANNNNNNNNNNGACUAAGGAGGGCACCAAAACGCACAUCACCGCCCACAAAAAGUUUUGUGUUCUACUCGAGAAGACAUCUACGCAUGAACCUAGCUCAUGANNNNNNNNNNUAGCAGAAGCAUUAGUGAACGCGGUUGAUGUAGUGGAACAUCCUCACGUCCCUCGAUCCGCCCCGCGAACAAUCCCGCGAUCAGUCCCACGAUCUAGUACCGAACGGACGGCACCUCCGCGUUCAGCACACGUACAGCUCGACGAUGAUCUCGGCCUUCUUGAUCCAGCAAGAGAGACGGAUAGGUAGAAGAGUUCUCCGGCAGCGUGACGGCUCUCCGGAGGUUGGUGAUGACCUUGUCUCAGCAGGGCUCCGCCCGAGCUNNNNNNNNNNCGGCUCCGCCCGAGCUCCGCAGAAACGCGAUCUAUAGGAAAAACCUUGGAGGUAUGUGGUCGGGCUGCCGUGGAAAAGUCGUCUCAAAUCAGCCCUAAAACCUCUGUAUAUAUAGGUGGGAGGGAGGGGACCUUGCCUUGGGGCUCAAGGGGGUCGGCCGAGCCAAGGGGGAAGGUCUCCCCCCCCCCCAAACCGAGUUGGACUUGGUUUGGUGGGUGGGNNNNNNNNNNCGUAUAUAUAGGUGGGAGGGAGGGGACCUUGCCUUGGGGCUCAAGGAGCCCCAAGGGGGUCGGCCGAGCCAAGGGGGAAGGUCUCCCACCCCCCAAACCGAGUUGGACUUGGUUUGGUGGGUGGGAGUCCUUCCUUCCCUUCCCACCUCCUUUUUUUUUCUCUUUGAUUUUUCUUUCUUAGGCGCAUAGGGCCCCUUUGGGCUGUCCCACCAGCCCACUAAGGGCUGGUGCGCCACCCUCAUGGCAUAUGGGCUUCUCCGGGGUGGGUUGCCCCCCCCGGUGAACUCCCGGAACCCAUUCGUCAUUCCCGGUACAUCCCCGGUAACUUCGAAAACCUUCCGGUAAUCAAAUGAGGUCAUCCUAUAUAUCAAUCUUCGUUUCCGGACCAUUCCGGAAACCCUUGUGACGUCCGUGAUCUCAUCCGGGACUCCGAACAACAUUCGGUAACCAACCAUAUAACUCAAAUACGCAUAAAACAAAGCCGAACCUUAAGUGUGCAGACCCUGCGGGUUCGAGAACUAUGUAGACAUGACCCGAGAGACUUCUCGGUCAAUAUCCAAUAGCGGGACCUGGAUGCCCAUAUUGGAUCCUACAUAUUCUACGAAGAUCUUAUCGUUUGAACCUCGGUGCCAAGGAUUCAUAUAAUCCCGUAUGUCAUUCCCUUUGUCCUUCGGUAUGUUACUUGCCCGAGAUUCGAUCGUCGGUAUCCGCAUACCUAUUUCAAUCUCGUUUACGGGCAAGUCUCUUUACUCGUUCCGUAAUACAAGAUCCCGCAACUUACACUAAGUUACAUUGCUUGCAAGGCUUGUGUGUGAUGUUGUAUUACCGAGUGGGCCCCGAGAUACCUCUCCGUUCACACGGAGUGACAAAUCCCAGUCUUGAUCCAUACUAACUCAACUAACACCUUCGGAGAUACCUGUAGAGCAUCUUUAUAGUCACCCAGUUACGUUGCGACGUUUGAUACAAACAAAGCAUUCCUCCGGUGUCAGUGAGUUAUAUGAUCUCAUGGUCAUAGGAAUAAAUACUUGACACGCAGAAAACAGUAGCAACAAAAUGACACGAUCAACAUGCUACGUCUAUUAGUUUGGGUCUAGUCCAUCACGUGAUUCUCCUAAUGACGUGAUCCAGUUAUCAAGCAACAACACCUUGUUCAUAAUCAGAAGACACUGACUAUCUUUGAUCAACUGGCUAGCCAACUAGAGGCUUGCUAGGGACGGUGUUUUGUCUAUGUAUCCACACAUGUAAAUGAGUCUUCAUUCAAUACAAUUAUAGCAUGGAUAAUAAACGAUUAUCUUGAUACAGGAAUUAUACUAAUAACUAUAUUUAUUAUUGCCUCUAGGGCAUAAUUCCAACAGUCUCCCACUUGCACUAGAGUCAAUAAUCUAGCCCUCACAUCACCAUGUGAAUUACAUUGUUAUAAAUCUAACACCCAUACAGUUCUGGUGUUGAUCAUGUUUUGGCCGUGGAAGAGGUUUAGUCAGCGGGUCNNNNNNNNNNNNNNNNNNNNNNNNNNNNNNNNNNNNNNNNNNNNNNNNNNNNNNNNNNNNNNNNNNNNNNNNNNNNNNNNNNNNNNNNNNNNNNNNNNNNUUCUCCCCUGACGCCGCUGCGACCAGCUUUCCCCACCGCGCUCCACAAACCCUACCCCUCCUCCGCCCUCCGCCGCGUCGCCAUGAGGUAUCCUCUCCCCUCCACCCGAAUCACGCGCCGGUGCCCCCCCCCCCCCCCCCCCCCCCCCGCGUCGUCUCCGCACAACGCGGCGCGGGGCGGUUCGUUUCGCCCCAGCACCAAAUCGGGGCGGAAUCCUACCGCCUCCUAGUCCGUCAAAUUCGCGCCGAAUCCGUGGAUUAUCGAGGUUAUCAUGGGCGAUAGGGCCGGGGUUGGUUGAUCGGUCGGAUGCUCGAGGCGGCCGUAGGACCGGAGGCCGUCGUCCGGGGGGGCGUCGUAUUCAGCAAGCAAACAUUGGUCCUGGAAGCGCCUGAGACUUGUUCCUGGCUGCUUAAAUAGGAACUGCAUUGCCUAGUCCAGUGUCUCUUGUGCUCUGGUUACUGCACUGUUUAUUUGUUUCGAUACAAAAAAAAANNNNNNNNNNNNNNNNNNNNNNNNNNNNNNNNNNNNNNNNNNNNNNNNNNNNNNNNNNNNNNNNNNNNNNNNNNNNNNNNNNNNNNNNNNNNNNNNNNNNNNNNNNNNNNNNNNNNNNNNNNNNNNNNNNNNNNNNNNNNNNNNNNNNNNNNNNNNNNNNNNNNNNNNNNNNNNNNNNNNNNNNNNNNNNNNNNNNNNNNNNNNNNNNNNNNNNNNNNNNNNNNNNNNNNNNNNNNNNNNNNNNNNNNNNNNNNNNNNNNNNNNNNNNNNNNNNNNNNNNAAAAAAAAACAAGCCGUUUCGUUGAUGUUGACAAAGAUGCCUGUCGUCUAUUGCUGCACACUUUGUUACAUUGGCAUGACAUAGUUGUGAAUUUCAGCCUAGCAUGCCGCCUGGUGAACACGCCGGAGGCGCGCCUGGUAUAGUAGGAUAUUAAUCUGGUUGUCGUCGAGCAGUAUGACCGCCUUUCGAUUGCACUCCGACAGAGCUUUUCCUCAUCUUUUCCAGUAAGAUGGGGGGAAUGUUUAGAACAGGCGCGCGUUAUAUCACAUGGCGUACCUUAAUGAUUUGACUACAGCACUAUUUGAGCCUUACCUGUUUAGUACGAGUUACGUUUUCAGUUAUGUUCUUGUUACAC